rnacentral:lncRNA from 1 species
UAAACAGAAUAAACUUUGUAGAUUUUAAUGAAAUAGUUAUGAAUUUUUUUUAUUUCAUGUCUUUUAUUUUUUGUAUUACAAAAACAUACAUAAAUAUUUGAUAAAAAAACUAAGGCCAUAAUCGAUAAAAAAAAAAAAGUAACUAACACAGUCUUGAAUUUUAAAAAUACAGUUAAAUUAAAAAAAAUUAAAAUCUAACACUUCAAAAGAAAUAUAGAGACUCCCAUUAUUCUUUUAGAUAAGAUCAGUAAUGUAAUGAGUGAAAAUAUAAAAUCAUUUUAAUAAUAAUAAAAAAAAAAAAAAAAACUAGUAUAAUAAAUAAAUAUUUUUAUUAUUGGCACCUGUAUCUCUACAUUCCAAGCCAAUGGCAUUCAAAAAGGAAAAAGAAACCUUUAAACUUGAAAGUAAUUAGAAACAAAAUGAAGCAUAAACAUAGUCAUGGAUCCUCACACUCCAUUUGAUCAUACACCACACCUAACUGCUCAGGCAGACUUUCCCUGCGGUGGCGGCAGCUUUUUGGAAGUGUUGGCCGGAGAAGGGGUUGUGACGGAAUUCUUCUCUUCCUUUUUGUGGUUGGUGGGAGUGGUUUUGUUUUCUCCACCUUGAUCAGCACCAACUUCUUUCAGGUCAAAGAAGUUGCUGAGGUCGUCGGUGCCAGUGAAAAUCUCCGGUGGCAAGACCUGGGAAGCUUGCCGGCGGUGACGAGACAUAGUGGUGGAGAGAGAAAGAGAGAGAGAGAGAGAAAAGCACAAAAAAGUGAAGGUGGUAAGUGAAAAUGGAGAAUGAAGGAAAGACAGAGUUUUGAAGUGAUUUAUGGAAGUGGGUUUUCUACGGAACCGCUGUUUUACAUGCCCACGCGCUUCCUGUCACAUGGCCAUUGAAUCUGGAAACCUUUUUUUUUCUUGGAUUAUAGUUUAGAAAAAUAUUUUUAAUUACAUGUUACAAUUAAUUUAUAUAUUCUUAAAAUAUGCAAUAACACAUUGAUUUUAAUUUAUAAAUAAAAUAUAAUUUUUUUCUUAUUUAUUCAUUUAAAAGUAUUGAUAUACUAAAACAUUCAUCAGAAUCUCGUCUCAUCAAAUGCAGUACUAACUUUUUUAAUGUCAUUUAAUAAUAAAUUGAAUUAAACUCAUAUGUGAUGGUAAAAUUAUUAAUAUAUUGAAUUAAACUUAUAUGUGAUGGUAAAAUUAUUAAUAUAAACUGUCGUUGUUUUAAUAUUUAAUUAAUUCAAAUUAUGAAGAGUAUAACAAAAUCUUUCACGAGCAUUUAAUUCUAUUUUCAUUUUUUAAGUUAUAAAAUGAUCAUGUGUUUUUAAUUUGUUUUUGUUUUUGCAUAUUUGUUCUCAAAAUAAUUACGAAAAACAUUUAUCCUUUUUCUGUACAAAUAUUUUAAAAUGUAACCUGAAAACAGUGUAUAGGUUUUAAUUAAAAUAGAAAAUCAGUUAAGAAAGACAGAAAACAAAACUAAAUGAAUAUCUCUUUAUAAUAUUAACUUUUAUACAGUCAGUAUAUAUGUUAUUUUUCAAAUAAGAAAACUAAAAAGGUUUAAUAUUUUGAAAAUAUUAAAUCAUUUAAUAUUUAUCACACAAAACUGAUGCAAUAAUUAUAAAAAUAAAAAAUUAAAGUUAUUUUAUUAAUAUUAACCGGAAAGAGAAACACAUUUGAGUGAGUUUGUCCAUUUUGUGGUCUAGUCUUCGUUGAACCACCAAACUUUACCAAAAAGUUUGUGCUAUCAGUUUUUUUAAGUUUCAGAUGUGACCAGACAAAAUCAACCGUCUUGUUCUCAAUAUUAAAAGAGAAAAAGAAAAUUGACAAAAAAAAAAAAAACCAUUUAUUUAACAUUAAUCAUGGAGAUCAAAUAAUUAUAAAAAAAAAUGACUUUGAUAUUUAUAAGAAAAAAAGAAAAAGUGAAAAAAAAAUACUAAAAGAUGAUAUUAGAUGAUAGUAAAAGUUUAUUGUUUGUCAAAUUAUAUUACUAUAUUAUUAAAACAGCAAUGUUAAUAUCGAAUGAGAACAUAGUCCAAAGUUGUACCUAGCAAGCACUCAAUUAAAUACUUAUCAUAACCCUGUUGCGCUUUGAGAUUGUACUUUGUAGUUGUUAUGUUUUGUCCAGGUCCAUUGUUCCAUUUAUUUUAUCUUUUAUUUAAUUACUUAUAUCAAUUAUCAAUUUUAGAAUAAUGGAAAGAGAUUUUUAUUUUUUUUUCUUAAUUAAAUGUAAGAAAAGAGAGUUUUCGUUUACAAUAGAAAACUAAAACUCAAAAGAUGUUUACAGAAGACUCGGUUAUAUUUAUAUAAUUCAAAGACAAGUAAAUGUUAUAUAUAUAUAUAAUAUGGAGUUAUCUAAAUAUAUACAUUAUUUGAAUUUGAAUUUCUUUGUACUACCGUUAAUUGCUGGAACUUGAAAAAGUUGAUGCCAGUAUUGAAUGUUUGGUUUGACUUUGGAAAUUAAUUUGGUAUUAAAUUGAAAAUUUAUUGGUACUAUGUAGUCAAAAUUUCCAUUUGUCUUGAUUAUUUAAAUGCAAUUUUGACCAAGACACUAACUAUUUUAUGAAUAUUUUUAUAUUCUUUUAAUAUGUUAUUAAAUUAAUGGAAGAAGUUAAGAUUAAAUUUAUGUUUGGUUGCUAAUGUGAACUUUAAUUUUGAUGAAUCUUUAAUUGUAUAAUUCAUCAUCAAUCUUUUAAAACUUAAAGUUAAUUAUUAAUAAAAAAAAGUUUUGUAUUAACUAUCAUAUCUUCUUACAAAAAUUUUUAGAUUUUUUAUAAUCUUUCAAGUAUUAUGUUAUUCCUUUCUUUAUCUCUUUGAAAGCAUUCUUUUUCAUAAACACUAAAUUUCCAAACACUCUUAGAAAAAUCUUUUGACCAUCCCUUUCAUUGUCUACCAAACAAACAAAUAACAUUUCUAAUCUUCAUCAUAAGAAAAACCACCUAUUUACCCCAUCAAAAACAAAUUAAGAAAACUUUAUCUUGAGCACUAGGUAAAUCUUAACGUUUCUUUCGGACAAUGAAACAUGAUGAAUAAGAAAUGGUGACUGAAGAAACUGUUGAAUGCUGGUCUUGCCUAACCUCAUAUGAAAAAUUAUAUAAAGGAAGCAAAUGACUAUUGUUCAAAGAAAGUCCUUUAGUACCAAUAACAUUGUCGCCAAAUGAAACUUUUCCUUUUUUGUAACAAACUUGAAUAGGGCUGGAAGUUGUCUCUGUUCAGAAGCAUUGGGAAGCUCUUACGCUCUUCUUAUUUGAAGAACCCGAUGAAGGAAACCCAACCCAACCCCCACCACCACCCCAACCACAUCAAACUCUUUCCCCCACCUUUCUUUCUAAGCCUUCACUUUCCUUUACCUAAUCACCAACCUUUCUUUUGAAGCCUUCCUUUUCCCCUAUCCACCGCUCUCUACCACCUUUCCUUCUAGGGCUUUUCUUUCUCCAAUCCCUUUUUCCCUGCCAUAUAUCUUUAUUCAUUUGUGCCAUGAUGCCUUUUCUCUACACCCUUUUCGAUGUUAAUCAAAUAAGGGGAGAAAUAUGUUAAACAUAGAUAAGAUACUACAUUCAAAGGAAGAAAUGUAAUGAUAGAUUAUUGCAUUUAGGACUCUUGUUUAAAAUGCAUAUAUGUUGAAAUGUAAAAAUAUCCAUGUUUAAGUGUCAAUCAUUUACUUUGAUAUACAUAUGAUUUAGAUAUGAUACUUGUGCUUUAAUACAUGUAUGAACACUUUUUGCUCUAAUACACGUGUGAAAACUUAAACUUAUAUUUGUUUUUUGCUCUGAUACACAUAAAUUUUUAUCCAUGCUCUAAUACACUUAAAUGUUUAUCCAUGAUUUGAUACAUAUAAUUUUUUGGUUCAUGCUCUGAUACACAUGAGAUGCAUAAACGAUUCACGUUUUGCUCUGUUACACACACAAGUUUUGCACAAAUGAUUUAUGACUUAUGAAAGUCGUAAAUUAUUGAUCUUGAAUAAUAUGAUAAUCGUUUAAUACCUUGACACUUAAAAUAAGCUUAGCUCUAAUAAUGAUAAACGAUAUUGUUAAGACAAAAUCGUCAAUAAGAUUGAAUUGUCUAAACGCCCUCAUUUGUUUUGAAGUUUAACAAACAACAAUAAACGAAAUGAGCAUAUAACAAUGUUAUCAUUAGAAAAGCAAUUCAAUUGGAAUAUAAAUUGUACCGUAUGGACAGGAUGGGCGUCAACGGCGCCCGUCCACAGGUAUGACGAAUCGUAAGGACGGUCAACAUGACCGAACGGUAGUUAAGACCAACCUCGGUCAAAAAUAGUCAACAUGACCGGACGACCAUUAGUAAAAAGGGGUCCGCUAACUUAGGGAAAUGCGAUUAACAGUAAAAAAGGAUUAGGAUAGCAAAGCAGGAUUUAAAGCGUCUGGGCCAGUAUUGGGCCAGGAUUAAGGUAAAAUUAGCUAUUGGCCCAUCACGGAAACUAUAAAUAGAGGUCAGAGGUAAGAGUUGGUGGGUGAUAUUUAAUGCACAUUUACUGUUGAGUACUGUUUUCUCUCUCUAUCUCUACUGUGAAACAGAAGCCUAACUUGAGGGUCGGAGCCCUUUUAGCAGGUACUCGAUCGGUCGUGGAACGAAGCACAACACCGAAGGACGGAAGUGACCGGGCGGAAAGGAGAAAUUGUGAAGGGAGAAGCACCGUCAUUAUCUACCCGAAACAUUUUGGCGCCUACCGUGGGGCCGGCGGAUUACAACCAAUGGUGACCACAAGAAAUACGAGCAUGGAGGAAUAGACGGAGAUGCUGCGGGCGAUGGAACAGAGGAUGACGGAUAUGCAACGAAAGCAUGAAGAGGAGAUGGCAGCUGUGAGGGCGGAAUGCCUAGCCCAAAUUGCCAAGUGUAAGAGCGGAGGGGCUAGGGGAGAGAUAGGAGAUGGCACAAGGGGAAAGCAAGACAAAAAGGUCUUACUGGAAGACGAAAAGGAGGAACAAAGCAGUGCCCGGGCGGGCAGGCGAGAAAAGGAAGAUAAGGAUGAUAAGGGGGAAAGUCAUAUGUUGGUAAAAGUGGAGGGGCCGUCUGUCCCGGUGCCCUUCAUCAGGGCGAUAAUGGAGGUCCACAUAUCUGAACAAUUCAUACCCCCUCAAUUCAAAAUGUAUGACGGGACUACAGACCCGGCAGCGCACAUCAAAUCGUUCACCAACGCCAUGACGUUCCGAACUGGUUGUGAUGCCAUCUGGUGUCGGGCUUUCUCGUUGUCUUUAGAAGGGGGGCCUUGGAUUGGUUCAAAUCACUCCCAGGCAACUCGGUGAAAGACUUUAAGAGCCUGGGCGAAAUGUUCAAGAAGCAAUUCGCCGCUUGUAACAUGGAAGACGUAACAGUGGUAGACUUGAUGAAUCUGAAACAGGGAAAGGAAGAACCUUUGAAGGCCUUCAUGGAUAGAUAUCAAAAGACCGUCUGUCGGGUUAAGGGCCUCAGCUUGGAGUUAGCCCUCCAAUACGUCAUGCUGACCUUAAGGUCCGGGCCGUUUAAGGACAGUAUUUGCCGAAACCCUCCCUAAACAAUGGAGGAGCUUCGCCAGCGUGCGGCCGACGAGAUCAGAGUCGAAAACAUGAAGCAGAAUUACCGAAGAGAAAUCCAGGAAGCAAAGGUGGACAAAUCCGAGGGAAAGAGAGGUGAGGUGCCCGGAAAUAGGCAGCACAGGUUGAAGGGAAGAGAGGGGCCGCGGGGCCCAAGAUUCCAACAAUACACCGCCCUCAACGCUCCCAGGGCCCGGAUACUCCAAGAAGCAUUAAGCAAAUAGAUUAUACCAAUGCCGAUGAAGCGACCAACCCCUCGGGGGCAGAUCUCAACAAACAUUGUCUGUACCACCAAAAUUCCGGACAUGAUAUGGAAGACUGCAUGACCCUCAAGGACAAGAUCGAAGAGCUGAUACGUGCGGGACGAUUGCAACAUUACAUAAAGGUGGACAGAGUCGAACGAUAUGAUAGCCGACCGAGCCCGGUGCCAAAAAGCCCCAGGAGGGAAAGAGGAAAUGUCAGUUACAAAACCCGUCAGCCGUCAAGAGAAGAUAAUAGGCGGACGGGCAGAAGGAGUAGAAGCCGCAGCCGCGAAGGAGAACGAAGGCGACCCCUGAGAGGAAUGAUAAACACCAUAUCUGGAGGAUUCGCGGGGGAGGAUCUACUUCCUCCGCACGAAAGAGAAGCAUUUGGGCAUUGCGGUCCAUAUAUGUCGUAGACGUCCCCAAAAGAACUAUGCCCCCUAUCACCUUUACGGAUGAAGACUUCCACGCCCCCGACCCCUAACAGGAUGACCCGAUGGUAAUCAUUAUUGAGAUCGUGCAAUACAAAGUAAGCAAGGUGUUAGUAGACCAAGGGAGUUCCGUCAACAUUCUAUACUAGAGGACAUUCCAGCAGAUGGACAUAUCGGAGGAUCUCAUAAUUCUGUAUGAUGAGCAGAUAGUAGGCUUUGCCGGGGAAAGGGUCGACACUAGGGGAUAUAUUGAUUUACGUACCCGUCUGGGGGUCGGGAGAGACAACGAAGAGAUGAAAGUAAGAUAUCUCCUGGUGGAGGCCAACACCUCCUAUAACGUCCUGUUAGGCCGACCGUGCCUGAACGCAUUCAGGGCUAUCGUGUCCACCCCCCAUUUAACUAUGAAGUACCUCACACGCUGGGGAGCGAUUUGCACCGUAAGGGCGAAUCAGAGGAUGGCACGGGAAUGCUACGCAGCCGGAUUACGAAUGUAUCCCAGGGAAACCAGGAGGAAAAUGGACCGGUCGGAGGUCGCUAUGGUCGACCUCGAUCCUAGAACCAACACAGAGGACCACUUGGAGCCGAUGGGAGAAACCCAACCCGUUAUAGUAGGACGGGACGCCAGUCAAACCACCAUUAUAUCUAGAGGAUUACCGGUAGAAACUGAAAAACGAUUACGGGCCACCCUCUGGCGCAAUAGGGACCUCUUCGCUUGGACUACGGCGGAUAUGUCGGGCAUACAUCCCUCGGUCAUGUCCCACAAGCUCUCAUUAUACAAAGAAGCACGGCCGGUAUCCCAAAAGAAAAGACGAAUGAGGGACGAGAAAAGGAAAGCGAUGGAAGAUGAAGUGCGCAAACUGCGGGAAGUUGGCUUUAUCAGAGAAAUCACUUACACCACUUGGCUGGCUAAUGUAGUUAUGGUAAAGAAGGCAAGUGGCAAAUGACGAAUGUGCAUCGAUUACACCGACCUUAACAAGGCCUGUCCGAAAGAUUCUUACCCACUCCCGAGCAUCGACACACUCGUAGAUGGGGCCUCCGGUUACAAGAUGUUAAGCUUCCUGGAUACAUACUCAGGUUAUAACCAGAUCCCGAUAUACGCCCCAGACCGGGAGAAGACCGCUUUUAUGACAGACAAGGCUAAUUUCUACUAUGAAGUAAUGUCGUUCGGUUUGAAAAACGUCGGCGCUACUUAUCAACGACUGAUGGAUAGGGUCUUCGCCGAACAAAUCGGUAGGUGCAUGGACGUGUAUGUGGACGAUAUGGUGGUUCGAUCACCUACCGAGGACGAUCACUUAAGAGAUUUGGAGGAGGUCUUUAACCAGAUCCAGAGGUAUGGAAUGAGGCUGAACCCGGCCAAGUGUACAUUUGGAGUAGCGGGGGGAAAAUACUUGGGAUUCAUGCUUACUUCGCGCGACAUUGAAGCAAACCCCGAUAAAUGUGAAGUUGUGUUGCAUAUGUCUAACCCGAGCACCUUGAAAGAUGUUCAAAGGCUGGUCGGAUGCCUCACGACACUGUCUCGAUUUAUAUGUCGGACCGACUCCCAAUUGGUGGUGGGACAAAUGAAUGGCGAAUUUCAAGUGAAAGAGGAUCAUCUCCUCCGGUACUUCCAUAAAGCCUCCGCCUUAGUAACAGAUUUUGAAAAAAUCGAAAUCCGACACAUACCCCCGGGAGCAAAAUGCUUGCGCAAAUAUGUUAUCAAAGCUUAGCUCAGGCAAGGAGAAGGGGCAACUCACCACGAUCAUUCGGCAGGUCCUCCUCCAACCGUUCGUUGAGUGCAAUGCGAUAACCACCGACCCUAAUGAUUGGCGUGGAGAGAUAAGAGACUUGAUGAAAAAGCGAGACAACGGCCUACCCCUACGGUCGGGCGAAGCCAAGAAGAUAGUCAGGUUCUUAAUAAUUGAAGAUGACAUGUACCACAGAGGGUAAUCCACCCCCCUCCUUAAAUGCUUAACGAGAGAGGAAGCACGAUACGUCAUGGACGAAUUACAUAAUGGAGUUUGCGGUUUUCACUCAGGAAGAAGAACCUUAAAAGCUCGCAUCCUCCGAGUGGGAUACUACUGGCCCACCAUGGAGGAGGACGUCCGUAUCUUCACCCGGCACUGCCUCUACUGCCAGGCGCAUGCUAAUGACACUCAUGUGUCGCCUCAUACAUUGCACUCUAUAUUUUCACCCUGGCCGUUCGCCCAGUGGGGGAUGGAUAUUGUUGGACCAUUCCCCCAAGGCCAGGCGUAGAAGAAAUUUUUGUUGGUCGCUGUUGAUUACUUUAACAAGUGGGUAGAAACCGAACCCCUUGCGUCGAUAACGACCCUUCAAGUACAAAAAUUUUGUUGAAAAUUAAUCUGCAGGUUCGGACACCCGAAGACGAUAAUAACAGAUAAUGGUAGGCAGUUCAUAGAUAAGAAACUAAAGUAGUUCUACGCAAAUAUGGGGAUUAAACACGUCACUAGUUCAGUAGAACACCCUCAAACGAACGGGCAAGUAGAGGCUGUCAACAAAACUAUUGUGGCCGAACUAAAAAGAAGGUUAGGGGAAAAGAAAACUUCUUGGGUUGAAGAAUUGCCAGAAGUACUAUGGGGCUACAGGUGCACGCCGCACGGGACCACAAGAGAAACCCCUUUCAACCUAACCUAUGGUAUCGACGCAAUGCUUCCAGUCGAAUUGGGAGAACCAUCACUAUGAAGGAAAAUAGAAGAUAUACAUCUCAACGACCAAGAGCUCAGGGUCGAAAUGGAUACGCUAGACGAACGCCGAGAUCGCGCGACACUCAGGGCCGAGGCAUGCAGGAGAAUGGUUGAGCGCAGAUACAACACACGGGUCCGUCCUCGCGACUUCCAGGAGGGAGAUUUGGUGUGGUGUAAAAUCGGAGAUGCCAAACGAACGCUUUCCCACGGGAAAUUAGCUGCUAAAUGGGAAGGCCCCUUCAAGGUGGUAACAACACUAAAAAAUGGGGCGUACCGGCUAGCUCAUCCGGACGGUCGCCUACUCCCCAACACGUGGAACGCAAUGCAUUUGAAAUUUUAUUUUAGUUAAGUUUACAUAGCUGCUGACAAUGAAUUUGUAAUCAUGAUCACUUUACUUUCAAUGAUAUGACGCGUAGUCCACGUAGCUCAAAUUAGCAUACUAACCAAUGACUCUAAGGGAAAGUAACGUAUGAGUAUCGCCCGAUCCACCUCCGUUAUUAGCCAGGACCCGUCCCCUUAACUAACGAGUUUCCGGGACCCGUCCCGUUAAUUCACGAUUAAGUUACUGGGACCCGUCCCAUUAACUCACAACCAAGCUACCGGGAUCCGUCCCAUUAACCUACGGUAGUUACAGGGAUCCGUCCCAUUAACCUUGGAGGGAGACGGUGGAUGAUUGAUCUGCCUCCCCUCCACAACAAUCAGGCUACCGGGAUCCGUCCCAUUAGCCUAUGAGUUAUAGGGAUCCGUCCCAUUACCGGAAAAGGAAGGGGGACGAUCAUGACCUGCCAUCCGUCUCGUUAACUAACAAUCAGUUUUUUUUUUCAAAAAAAAAAAACGAGAGAAAGAAAGGAGAAUAUACAAAAAUAUUCACGCAACUGUUCAAAACAUAAGGGCGAAAACCAUAACGGACAGGUCGAUGGCGCAAAAGACUACGCCUAAGUAUUUCCCAUCGACCUCGUCUUUACAAAAAAUCACAACUAAAUCAAACAAAAAGAGGUAACUCUUAUCGCCCUUCAUGACCACUGGACCUUCCUUCAAGCUUCAGGCACCGCCAGAUGGACCCGCAUAGGCCUUCACCUUUUCACCACCAAUACCACCUUCUCCCACAGGAUCACACGACAAGUUAGCCUCCACCGACCUCAUCUCCCCACCAUAUACGUCUUGAUAAAGAUCAAACCCGACAACAACAAGGUCCACCUUUAACAAAAACGCCGCUUGCCGCAUAGCCUUGUUGAAACCUUCUUCAUGUUCAAGAAUCACGGUUACGUCCAGGUUCGUAAGAGUUUCGUUGACCUUAGUUAACUCAAUACCAAGACGCUCCUUUUCGGCAUAAACGUUCACUCUGUUCCGCCAGUUCCUCACCCCUUUUACCAAGACGGCGAACUUCCAACUUCAACUUUUUCACUUCCUCAACCAGAUCAUCUUCCCGUUGCUUGGCGUCCGUCAACUAUUUGGUUGCAUUAGAUAAUUGAAGGCGAGAUUCGUCCAGAUCCGCUUGCAGCUUUGUCUGAUUUUCGUCACAAAAAUCGUGGUCUCUAGUGAGUGUUUCCACACGGUGGCAGAGUGUGGGCGACACGUCCUGCUCCUGGGCUAGCUCACGUAGCAAGUCCCGACCUUCUCGUCCAGAACCCAGUUCGCGAGCAUUCCAAGCCAGCAUAACUCCCCGGGACAUCAACUCCACAGCAGCUCUAAGAAGCUCCCCCUCAGACAAGGACUCGAGCACUGCCUGUUGAGAGGAAUUCGGACGGAAAUCCACCCGCGAAGCGGCAUCAAAAGCAGGGUCAAAAACCCCGGUUGGAAGGGGAACGAGAGAAGAGCUCCCGCUACGAUAGCUCCGCUUAGAAGAGGGUUUCCCAUCCUCUUUGGACUUUUUCUUUUGCUCAAAGGGAGCCGCCGACUCCGGAGGAGGCUCGAAAGAUUGUACCACAAUAGCCUGAACGGGAUCCGGCUGAGCAAUUUCACCAACACGACCAGUAGCAACAACCUCGUCAGGAUGGACCACCACCGUUACCAGAUCUGCUUGAGGAAUACUGGUCGGGAACUCAACGUUCGGAGCAUGGCUGGAGGCGGCGGAAGGUCGUUCCUUACCUUUUGAGGUGUUGUUUCCCUUUCGCCGUUGGGUGGAAGCGAACCACCUGGUCUUGCGAGGUUCAGGCAGUGACAUGUAUCCUGAAAUUAAAACAAGAAUUUAGCUAAGUCAAACCGACGCACAAAAAACACAACCCGGCCGUCAGCAUACCAAACGCAAUAUGAUCGUAUUCUUCAUAUUUCAGACAAUCGACGAAGCCGCGGGCACUGAGGUGGCAGGGCAGAUCGUUUAUUGUGUGAACGACGUCGCGCUCCAAGGCGUUCAAACGACCAACACCGAAGGCUUUUAUUUUUGCAGGAUCCUCCGUCCAAUACAAAUGGAACCGAGGGACACCGACGACAUCAAAGAACUCCGACUUGCCGGACUCCUUGAUCAUUAUUUUGAAGUAUCGCGUCUUGAAAUUUUUGAAGGAAUCUACAAAGGGCUUGAAAAAAGUCCGAUCUUGAACGGAUGACAAAAACACCCACCCUCGACGAGGAACAAGCUGCAGGUUAAAAUAAUGGAGAAAUACCCGCACCAUAGGAGAUAUCCCCACUGCUGCACACAACGUUGUGAAGGCUUGGACGGCCGCCCAACCAUUCGGAUGCAAUUGACUCGACGCUAUGUUUAACUCCUUCAACAGGGAAGCUUGAAACUCCGUAAACGACACCCUUACAUACAUUUGCUCGAACAUAUAACUAUACACAAAAAAGAAAUCCUCUGAACUAGAGCCUUUCCUGUGGAAAACACGCUCGUUCGGAUGACUUGCUCCCAGGCGGAAUAAUCGGGCGUCCUCCACAUCACGAGCAAUGUGAGAGCGGUUUGACCACCAUAGUAGAUCUUCAUGCGUCCCAAAAUUUGAAGUAUACUCGUUCACUUCCGGAGAAGCCCAACGAUAACCGCGAAUGCAUGGCCACCCUUCGGCCGGCUCGGCCAUCUCCCGAUCGACGCGUAUACCCCCUUCAACAAAAAGAUGGCGUACCCAUUUAUUAAUUUGUCUCCUUCCGGAGAAGGUGGCAUAGAGGUAUCUUCACUCGGAUUGGCCUCUAAAAAGGUUGAAGAGACCAAACUGGGGGAUGCAGCAUUUCCUGCAUAGCCGGACGCAACCUGUUCCCCCGCUGCCGGAAUGCCCACGCCGCUUGUCACCCCAGCCCCACCUCCGUCGCCGUGACCCGACGACUCCUCUGACGAAUGAACACUGACUACAACCAUUAUUUACCUGAAGAGGAAGAAUCCUUGGUGGUAGGAAGAUGAGGUUAAAGAGAUGGUCAGUGGCAUUUCCUCACUCCCUAUUUAUAGAACAAUUUUAAAAACUGCCACACCAUGAUCAGCAUUAGAUGUCUGCUUAAUCAACGACCUUGAUUCGUAACGGUUCAGUUCUCCAAGGGAAAACACCAACCACAAUGAAACACAUGUCGUUUCCCGCCCAAGGCACUUUCGAGAAUCGCAACCGUCAUUCCCAUUUUUAAAUCCUUUCAGUCACUUAGUUCCUUCAGGCUUGGGGGGCCUGUGUACCGUAUGGACAGGAUGGGCGUCAGCGGCGCCCGCCCACAGGUAUGACGAAUCGUAAGGACGGUCAACAUGACCGAACGGUAGUUAAGACCAACCUCGGUCAAAAAUAGUCAACAUGACCGGACGACCAUUAGUAAAAAGGGGUUCGCUAAGUUAGGGAAAUGCGAUUAACAGUAAAAAAGGAUUAGGAGAGCAAAGCAGGAUUUAAAGCGUAUGGGCCAAUAUUGGGCCAGGAUUAAGGUAAAAUUAGCUACAGGCCCAUCACGAAAACUAUAAAUAGAGGUCAGAGGUAAGAGUUGGUGGGUGAUAUUUAAUGCACAUUUACUGUUGAGUACAGUUUUCUCUCUCUAUCUCUACUGUGAAACAGAAGCCUAACUUGAGCGUCGGAGCCCUUUUGGCAGGUACCCGACCGGUCAUGGAACGAAGCACAACACCGAAGGACGGAAGUGACCGGGCAGAAAGGAGGAAUUGUGAAGGGAGAAGCACCGUCAUUAUCUACCCGAAACAUAAAUGGUUUGUGAAAAUGCUCUGAAAAAUCUAAACAUCCUAAGAAAAGCCUUAGUAAAAACACCAACGUAUUGAAUAGGCGUAACACUAAACGGUUUCCCUAUUUAAUGCAUCAAUGAGAUUCUUGCUGAAUGCAACAAGCAUUAUGCAUCGCUAAGCGAUGAUAAAACGAACUCUCGAUAUAUCUUGAUAAAUGAAAGUGUUAAGAGAUGUUUUUGGAAGUACGCCAAAAAGUCUUAAACGAUAUUCCAAAAACUUGUGUUGAAAGACACCUUGCUAAACAUAUUAUUGAAUGAAAGAGAGAAAAACUUAAAGAAGCAUUUACAUAGGCUAGACAAUACCAUGUGCUAAAUGAUCAGCUUCAUCCAAUGAUGAAUCUUCAUCAAAUGCUUGGUAUCUUAGUGAAAAGGUUAAAUGAUUAAAUCCUGCUUGAACACUAGAAAAUGUAAAAAGUACUUUGUUGUUUUGAAAAUGCAUUAAAUGUCAUUAAAUGCUCAACAUUUAAAAAUAAAUAAAGUGAUAAGAUAAAGGACAUAUUUGUUUCUUGCAUAUCUACUCUACUUUGUGCAAAUUUCCUAUUACACGCAUCCACUUACUCCAUCCUAUACAAAUUAGAAGUAGAUGUUAAAAACAAAGAAGACAUUCAUGGGAUAUUCUCUUCAUCAAAAGUCGUGCCAAAAAAACUCUGUUGCCUACUGAUAACGGUUUAAAACACCAUUAUUUGUGAUGUGAUUUUGAUACUAAAAGCACCCUUUUUCACUUAGAAACUUGCUUGGACUCAUGCCUUUUGAAUAAAUUGUGUGAAUACGAGAGUUGAGGUUGAUUUCAAUGAUUUUAUUACUAAUUCCCCUUGUUCUCAGGCCCCAUGGUAGACACCAAAAUGUUUCAAAUAGCGCGGUCAAGAACUACUCCUUCACACUUUUCACCGAUCUUUCUAUGUUGCCUUCAAUUUCCGUUACCAUUAUUAUCAAUCUCCUUCCUUCAAUCCUCAAGUCUAGCAAUGAUGUACUUGUCAAAGGCACUCCGAUGCUUAUGUCAAUUAAUGAAUCUGUUCGAUUAUCACAAUGCAGUCUUAAUUUCACAAUAAAUGCAAUCACCUACCUCCAUACCUUACCUCUGUAUUUAUAGGUUUUGAAGUGGAUUUUUAAUUAAGGUUGACCCAAUUAUUGUCCAUGAGUUCAUAAGCAUAUUUUACUUUGUUAAUCAUGUUGGAUUUGUGUUUAUGGUUUUAAUGUACAGUACCAAUCGAUCAUUUAUAAAAAUUACACCUGACCAGUCUACACUAUUAUAAAGUUUUGAAAAAAUGUUUAUCCUCUUGUAAGAGUUGACUGCUCGAUAGAUAAAAGGAUGCAUUAAGGUUAAAUAAUACAAAUGUCAUUUUAUUUUAUUCUAUUACUUGUUCCAUUUAUUUAAGUAAAUGUUGUAAAUAGACAACAUACAUUCUUCUUCAUUAUAAGUUUUUUUUUUGUUUGGACCUGUUCACAAGUGUCCAUUGAUUCUAAUACUUCUCAAAAUUGUUUUCAAACAUGACUUAUAGAAGAUUUUUCUUCAUAGGAAACCAUGAUUAUUACCCAGACUCCAAUAUUAAUAUUAAUAACAAAGGGUUAAAAUAAUAUCUUAUUGCACCACAUAGCCAUUGUCAUCAUCUUCAACUGUAGCUUUGUUAUUUGUUUUCACUAAGAAGAAAAACUUGUGUUAAAGAACUCAUUUUAGAAAAUAAUAUAUAUUUUCUGAGAAAUUUAUUCUGAAAAUUUUAUUUCAUAAGUCUUGUUCUAAAACAAUUCUUGUAUAUUCUGAAAAGUUUAUUCUAAAAAGUUAUUUUAGAAUGUAUCAUAUAUAUAUAUAUAUAUAAUGCAUUUUAUGUGUUCUAGUAAGUAAAUUUCAAAAAACAUGUUCCAGAAUCCUGUUCAAGAAAAUUUUUCUGGAAAGUUCCGAAACUUUUAUUGUUGAAAACAUGUUCUAGAAAUUCCAAUAAACUUGUCUCGGAGGAUUGCCCAUAAUAUGGAAGUUACCUUUUCGAAGGGUAACGUAUCAUUUAAAAAUAAUGGAGUUGCAGUUAAAAUUUCUGGGAUUGUAGAAAGAGAAAGCCUAGGAAGACAGGUUGGGUUGAAUAUUAUUAGGCCCAAUCCGACCCAAAUUUGACAUUCAAUAGACAAUUCUGUUGCAGGUUGUAAUAAAAACAUAAAACAAAAAUAUAUAAAAACUAAAAGCACCAUAUUUUCAUCAGGAAAUCUAUAGUUUUGGGUGGUGGAAAAGUGACGCCAAGUGGGUAUAAGAAUUUUAAUUUCCAAUUAACUCAAAAAAUUAUUCAUUUAACUCAUGUUUCUGUAUUUCACUUUGUUUUCUUUCCUUACGUUUUCUUAAAUAUGAGUUUCACACACUACGUGGAAUGCUCUUUAGGUGUUCGAUAAAAUGCUUCAACUGAAUCUUUGUAAAUAAGGAGUUGUGGGGAUCGUAGAAAUUAAGCAAGAAAGGUUUUAGUGAGGUUGAUAGUGCAUUUUCACGAUUUUUGUAGUCUGUCUGUAACAUGUAUUUAUUUGCAGGAACUGGAUAGUUUAGCCCCGUUGCAUUCACCGUGUAAUGGAGGAUCCAUCGUUUUUUGAUCGGAUGAUCAGUCAUCUCCGUUCAACUUGCAAGUAUGAAUUCGUUCAUGUGAUCCUUAAUUGCCAGUGUUAACUUGCUGUAUAUGACAGAUUUUUGUUAAUCAUAUUUAUAGUGAGCGUGAUUAUAGUAAUUUGAUUCGUAAAUGUUUCAAGAAUAAGAUACACUUUUGUUCUCUCAACAUAUCUUGAUUUUUUUUUUUUUUUUUUAGAGAACCUCCUAAAGUUCCGACGAAAAAGGUCAAAUAAUGUUUUAUUAUCUUAAGAAUAUAAUAUUAUCAUCUUCGGGAACAUGGGGGAGGCUUUGCACACUCAUGCUAUUAAGCUGCUUGAUAUGUUGUGCAUAUUUGACUAGAAAAAAAAUUUCGGGUAGGAGAAUUAUAUAGGUCUAUUUGGGUUUUUUGAGAGUGGAUGACUCUAUUUUAAUUUCUUUAUGGUGUCAUCUUUACGUUCUGCCCAAAGAGCAGUCCUUGUGCUAUGACUGAGUCAUUUAAUAAUUUCUGUUGGCCUAUUGAAAACUUCUUUCUCUCUCUAUAUUUUAUCUUCAUCAAGUACUUCUAGUCCUGGAUUGGUAUAUAUAUUGAGAUACCAGAAAAAUAUAUUUAAUUCUUUUUCCAAUCAUGUCAAAAAGUGUUUGGAAGCUAAUUUCAAAUCUUCAUAUAUUACUAAUGAAGUUCGGUAGGGAUUGACUAUGGAACGGUAGUUUCCACAAACUCCAGAAAUAGUUGUGUUGUUAUGGUGCACUUCCAUAAUGCCUUUUUCAUGGCAUAGUUUUGCCUAAUCUGAUUCUCCUUCUACUAUAAGAUGUUAAUAUUUUUUGGAAUUUUUGUGAUAACUAAAGGUACUAUACUGGUUAUCCAAAGGAUCUUGGACCAUCCAAGGUUAUUCAUUUUACAUCUGAGCGUGAGUUUGUCACACUUCUUCAUGAAGGUUUUCCUGUGGUUGUUGCAUUUACUAUCAGGUAAUCUGGAGUCAGCUGCUGAAUUCUUACUCGGUUCCCUCUAUUUGAACUUGACUUUGGUUUUAAUGGAAAGGAAAAGUGAAAAGAUUUAAUAAUAACUAAUAACUACUACUUAUUUGAUAAUGCAGGGGGAAUUACACUCGACAUCUUGACAAAGUAUUGGAAGAAGCUGCUGUUGAGUUUUAUCCUCAUGUAAAAUUUAUGCGUGUAAGUUAUUUUUCAUAAUUAAUGUGCUCGUGCAACUGUUGACAACCAUAUCAAUAGCAUCUCUCGUGAUGCAGCAUAGCUCUUGUCUCAUUAGAUUGAACCAGAAUUACAAAAACACAAACACAUAUACUCACACAGCACAGUUCAUCACGACAGUUUUCCUGUCUUUUUAUUUUAUUGCGUGAUUAUUAUUAUUUUCUUGGGUUUGGGCUAUGUAUUUUCUGUGCACUCUGUAGCAUAUUAUUGUGCAUUGGUGAAAUGGUUUUGUUCUGGAGCUUUGCAGGUUGAAUGUCCGAAAUAUCCUGGGUUUUGUAUAACUCGGCAAAAGAAGGAGUAUCCAUUCAUUGAAAUAUUUCACAGUCCAACACAGGUAUGGUGUUCCUUACCUGUUCAUCACUGUUGCAUCACUUCAUUGCAUAAAUUUCCUUCGGGAAAAGUCAUAUAAGAUUUUCUUUUAAUGGAAUGGUUGAUCAGAAAGCACGUAUUCUGCAGCAGCAAUAUGGUUUCUAUUAAUCGGUUAAUCUGUUCAUUGACUACCACCCCAUGUAAAUCCUUUUGUAAUUUGAGACUUGUGUUCCUCUAUACAGGCAGAUAAACAGGGAAGGGUGGCUGAUCCGAAUAUUACUAAAUACAGUGUUAAAGUCUUGCCUGUAAGUUGUUUUUGUUUAAAUUAAGUCUGAAUUGCACCUUGAGAAUCCUUUUUCAGGCUAACUGAUACCUAUCACUGAUUAUUAUUAUUAUUAUUUUGAAUUUUUAACUCUUCUCAAACGUAUGUUUAUAGUGAGUUAUACAUAGGUAGUAAGUCUAGUAAUCUACCAGUAAGUCACUAGAAAAGUUAUCAAAAUUUUGUACAUGCCUGACAUACACUCACUUGCAUCUGUGAGAUGUAAUAUUUUAUCCAAUUUCAAUUUAAUUUUAUGCACUUGCAGUUCAACUACGAUUUAAGCGCUUAUGGAUUUAGAGAAUUCUUCAAGCGACACGGUAUGUGGUCAUCAGAUUCAAAGUAAGUUCCAGCGGAAGGGUUUUAUGUUUCAUAUGUUGAAGAGCCACCUAAUCAUACUCUCUACCUAUCUAUCUGUCAGUAUAUCAUCACAAGUUAACAACUAAUGGCCAAUAUUAUUUGGUUUAAGUUCUCGUCUGGGGCUUUAUUCAUUGUUCCUUUGUGUUGGCAUCUUAGUAUUUCCAUGUUUAUGUUCUCCAACUUCUAGAAUAGAACCUACAAGACGUUUCUCAUCAAUCCCUAUCUGUUAAUUUGUCUAUCAACUACUUGAAUCCUAGAGGCUUCUUUGGAAAGCAAGAUAAACUGCUUGUCUUAAAAGUUGGAUAUGCGAUAUAUUCUUUUGUGUUCUAUAAAUUGAGUGAGAAAUUAUUGCAAUGGUGAUAUAUGCUUUGAGUAUUCAUAAUUUAGCAUGCUUCUACCAUAUUUGAUGUUGAUAAUAUAGUUAUUAAACAUUACAUCUUGUAAUAACUUUAAAACAAAUCUAUAUUUCUUUUAUCAGCCCUAGUCAUACACAGUCAUACACUUAUAUUCUCAUAAUUUGUAAAUAAAAAGUCUUUCUGAACUUUUAAUAGUGCAUAACAUUUUUUUACAGUAGUUUCUAAAGCUAUAAAAGAAAAAGGAUCCUUAAGAGUACAACUGUCAAUCGCAUAAUCCAAUUACUACAUGCAAAAUUCGAGUCAAGCAACAAUAAUAUCGACAUAUAUAGACAGAGCAAAAUAAUCUGAGUUUACAAUUUUUCAUAAAAGGAUUCAAAAUUUCAAGAAUCAAUUUGAAUUUUUCUUAUUUUCUGGAAGUUAUGCGAGAACAUGUAAUAUUUUUAAAAACCAGAAAAUUGAUUUACCCUUCAACAGUUUUCUUUCGUGGAAAUUUAUCAGUAUUUGGAGCUUUGGUAUCAUGUCAACCCUUUACACUUGGGGAGGGAAAGUUGAGGAGAGGUUCUAACUAGGGGCUUCUCCCCCACCUCCAAGCUUUGCCCCUGCACUUCUAAACUUUUUUAUUUUUAUUUUUUAUGUUUAAACUGUCCUUCUAAGGUAAUUUUUUUUUUCUUUCUUAUAAUUAUCCCAUCUAUAUACCAACCAGUUUUUGGUUUUUAAUUUGUUUUAAACGUGUUUUACUCAUUUUAGUUUAAUAAAUUAUAUUUUAAAAUAUUAAAAUAUUAACGCAUAUUAAAUUAUAUUACCCAUUAACAUAUAUUAAAUUAUACUAAAAUAUUGGAUUAAAUAAUACUGAUAAAAUUAUUUGCAGCCUUUCUUGGGGGCCACAAGUUAUACUUCUAAGAACCUAAAAAAUAUCUUGAUGGGAUGAACUUAGAAAAACUUGUUCGAAUCCUUAAAGUCCACGGGUUCGAGCUUCAACAAGAUAGUAUGCUAAAGAAAGAAAAUAGUACAACUCUCAAUGCUUAGAAGCUUACAAAAAGGACACCAACAAAAGCAUUCAAGAGUGAAGAACUCACAAAAGAGUCUAACGAGGAAGAAGACUUUAACGAAGAAGAAGAGGAAGAUGAACUAUCGUUUAUCAUAAGGAGAUUCCACUCUAGGUGGAAAAAAAAGAAACAUUUCUUUUAGAGGGAGAAGUAUCAAAUCAAUCUCAAGAGUGAUCGAAAGGAAAAAAGAAAAGAAGGAUCAAUAAUUUGCUACAAGUGCAAGAAACUAGGACAUUUAAGUUAGAAUGUCCAGAUCUGAAAAAGCCUUAAAAGAAGGUAAUCUUCAACAAGAAGAAAGUUCUCAUGAGAACAAAGAGGCCAACAAAUGUUCUUCAAGAAAAAGAAGACAUAUAUUACUUAGGAGGAAAAUAGUAACUCUACAACAAGCUUAAGCGAUUUUGAUGAGCAAACCAACAUAUGUUUGACGAUUGAUGAUGACAUCUCUAAAAAUCAAGUAAGUAAUCUCUAACGAUUCUGAAAAUUCAGAUUAUAGUGAAAGUGAAUUACUUGACAUGUAUAAAAAAAUAUUAUUUGAAUAAGAGAAAUUAGAUACUGCUCAUAAAAAAAUUAAAGAAGGAAUUUAAAGAAUUAAAAUUAACUCAUGAAAAUAUUCUUGAAGAAAUAAGGAUUUGAAAAAUACAAUUUUGUAUUAUGAAAAAGAUAAAUAUAUCAAAAUUGAAGAAUGUGUUUCUUGUUUAAAUAAAAAGAUGACUCUAAAUAAAACAACCAACGUUGAAUGGAGUAAUAAUUCAAAAAUUAAAAAGGUUGUUAAACAUAUUCCUAAAAAUAAUUAUAAUUAUUAUGAUUAUAAUUAUAGGAAUAAAAUUCGAAAUGUUCCUAAAAAUAAUUAUAAUAAUUAUAAUUAUAAAAAUAAAAUCAAAUAUGUUCCUAACUAUAAUUAAAAUUACUAUUAUGACUAUAAUUAUAAAAUUAAAAAUAAUAGAAUCCAUAAAAUUUGGGUAAAAAAAAGGAACUAAUAAUAAUAAUAGGAAACCAAAUGUUGCUACAUGUUUCUAUUGCAUAAAAAGGGUCAUACAUCGAAUAAAUGCAAACUAAAACAUUAUGAUGUUCCUUGUGGAGAAUAUACUUUGGUUAUAAAAUAAUUUAAAUAUUUGUCUAACUAACCCAAAGGACCCAAUGGUUGGGUACCUAAAAUAGUUUGUUCUCUUUCUAUUUCGCAGAUAAGUUCUAAAUCCAGGAAGUCCAUGUGGUACCUUGAUAGUGGUUGUUCAAGACAUAUAACAAGAGAUAUAAAGAAAUUUACAAAUUUUCGAUAGAAGGAACAAGGCUAUGUCACAUAUGGUGACAAUGACAAAGGAAAGAUCCUCUGAGUAGGAGACAUAUGAAGUGCAAAUGCCUUGAUGAUUAAAGGUGUACUGUUUGUAGAAGGUUUGAAGCACAAUCUUCUCACUAUCAUUCAAUUAUGUGAUAAAGGUUUCAAGGUACGAUUCAAACCCAAUUAUUGCACUAUCCAUGAAAAAUAUUCUUCUGAAGUUGUUUUGAAAGGUAUUAGACAUGCAAAUACUUAUUUAAUUGAUUUGGAAAAUGUUUCAAAUAAAAAUAUUUCAUGUGUAGUAGUAAAAGAAGAAAAUUCAUGGUUGUGGCAUAAGAGAGUUGCUCAUAUUCAUAUGCAACAAUUGAAUAGACUUACAUAUAAAGACUUAGUAAUUGGCCUACCAAAACUCAAUUUUAUAAAAGACAAAGUAUGUGUUGCAUGUCAAAAGGGUAAACAAGUUAAAUCAUCUUUUAAUUCGAAAAAUAUUAUUAUGCUUUAGUUAUUGUUGUGACUAUUCAAGAUAUACAUGGACAUCCUUUAUUACUCUAAAAGUGAAACUUUCAACGUAUUCAAAAAGUUUGCGAAAUAAGUUUAAAAGGAAAAAGAUUUGAAAAUUAAAUAUAUUCGUAGCGAUCAUGGAGGGGAUUUUCAAAAUGAAUCAUUUGAAACUUUUUUGUGAAGAACGUGGAAUUUCUCAUAACCUUUCUGCACCUAGAACUCCACGACAAAAUGGGGUUUUAGAAAGGAAGAAUAAAUCUUUAGAAGAAAUUGCAAGAACUUUUUAUUAAACGAAUCGAAAAUUCCAAAACAUUUUUUGGCUGACAUUGUGAGUACGACAUGUUUUGUUUUAAAUAAAAUGUUUUUUCGUCCUAUUUUAAAAUAUACUCCUUAUGAAUUAUUUAAAAGAAGAAAGCCAAAUCUUUCUCAUUUAAGGAUUUUUGGAUGCAAAUGUUUUGUUUUAAAUAAUGGAAAACAAAAUUUGGGAAAAUUUGAUUUAAAAUCCGAUGAAGCUAUUUUUAUUGGUUAUUCUCUAACGAGCAAAGCAUAUAGAGUUUUUAAUCGGAGAAAUUUUGAAAUUGAAGAAUCUAUACAUGUUGUCUUUGAUGAAAUUGUGGACCUUGAGGAAAAACCUCUUGAGUCAGACGAAUUAGAUGUAGGUGAAGAAGAAGACUUGUAAGAGACAAUAAUUGGUGAGACAAAUAAUCCUUAACCUGAAGAUUUAGCUAAGACAUGGCAACAACCCCGAAAAUUAUCACUAGAAAAUGUUCUUAGAGAAAUCUCAAAAGGGGUAAGUACUUGUAGAAGCUUAGCAAAUUAUUGCAUGACUGUGGCUUUUAUUUAAUAGUUAGAACCUAAGAGCGUGAAGGAAGCUCUAGAAGACGAUCAAUGAUGUGUUGCAAUGGAAGAAGAACUCAACCAGUUUGAAAGAAAUCAAGUCUGGGUUUUAGUUCCAAGAGAAAACACUCAUCAAGUGAUAGGAACUAAAUAGGUGUUCAGAAACAAACUAGAUGAAGAUGGAAAUAUCACCAAGAACAAAGCUAGGCUUAUUGCAAAAGGGUACUGUCAAGAAGAAGGUAUUAAUUAUGAUGAAACAUAUGCUUAUGUUGUCAGGUUAGAGGCAAUAUGCCUACUUAUUGCCUAUGAAUUUAUUAUGAAAUGUAAGUUAUAUCAAAUAAAUGUUAAAGUGCUUUCCUAAAUGGUUAUCUUAAAGAAGAUUUAUUUGUUGAAAUACCACCUGGCUUUGAAGAUUAUAAAUAUCCAAAUCACAUCUUCAAAUUAAAGAAAACUCUUCAUGGUUUAAAACCAACACCUAGAUCUUGGUAUGAAAGACUUAGCUAUUUUAUACUAGAAAAUAGAUUUAAUAGAGGUAAAGUUGACUCCACUUUAUUCAUAAAAAGAAUAGGAAAACAUAUUCUGCUUACCCAGGUAUAUGUUAAUGAUAUUAUAUUUGGAUCAACUAACAAAUCUCUUUGUGAGGAUUUUGCUAAGACUAUGCAGGGUGAGUUUGAAAUCUCAAUGAUGGGUGAAUUAACAUUCUUCCUUGGUUUACAAAUCAAGAAAACGAAAGAAGGUACUUUUCGUUCUCAAACUAAAUAUUGUAGGGAAAUCCUGAAGAAAUUUGAAAUGGAUAAAGCUAAGGAGGUAUCAACUCUUAGGGCUACAUCAUGUUAUCUUGACAAGGAUGAAUCAAGUACACCCGUAAACCAAACUUUGAAUAAAGACAUGAUAGGUUCUUUAUUAUAUCUUUCUACUAGUAGGCCAGAUAUCAUGAAAAAGUGUAUGUGUUUGUGCUAGGUACCAAGCUAGGUCUAGAGAGUCUUACCUUACCAAAGUUAAAUGUAUCCUUAAGUACCUUAAGGGAACUAUGUCUUUUAGGCUGUGGUAUCCAUGUGGGGCUGAACCUGGUCUUGUAGGGUUUUCAGAUGCAGACUUUGGUGGUUGUAUGAUAGAUAGAAAAAACACUAUUGGUAUAUGUCACCUCUUGGGUAGUUCCUUAGUUUCCUGGAAUUUUAAGAAACAAGCUUGUGUAACCCUAUCAACCACAAAGAUUGAGUAUAUUGUUGCAGGUAAUUGUUGUGCUGAAAUAUUAUGGAUGAAACAAAAAAUAGAGGAUUUUGAUAUUUAUCUUGACCAUAUACCUCUUAAGUGUGAUAACACCAGUGCCAUCAAUCUUACUAAGAAUUCCAUUACGCACUUUAGAACCAAACAUAUAAAGAUUAGGCACCACUUUCUUAGAGACUCUAUCCAAAAUGGGGAUUGUGAGAUAGAGUAUGUUGAUACCAAGCACCAAUUAGCAGACAUUUUCACCAAAGCAUUGCCCAAGGAUAGAUUUUAUGAGCUUAAGAAGGGAUUUGGGGGUCCUAGAAAUUGUCUAAAGGUCUUGUAUAUUGCAUUUUUCAUAUUUUCAUAAAUUCUAGUGCAAUAAUCGAUUAUCCCCUGAUGAUAAUCGAUUAUCCUUCCCUUAGAGUUGUUGUAGGUCGCAAUAAUCAAUUAUUGUGAAGGCAUAAUCGAUUAUCACUUUUCUGGGCUUCUGUUUUUGAAACAAUAAUUGAUUAUUUCGAGUAAUAAUCGAUUAUUAGGCGAACAUUACCAUUGGAACUUGUUUUCUAGCCGUUGUAACAUUUAUAAACGACUAAUUUUUGAUGUUUUGUUGCACUCCUUGCUCAUUUGCUAUAUAUAGGGGUCUAUAAUCGAUUGUUUUCACAUCAUUUGAGUAUUCUAUGCAUUUGUGAAGCAUUUUGUGCAAUCUUGGUCCUUUCUUGUGCAUUUUUGUUCCAACCCCUUUGAUCUUCUUUACUCCAACCUUCUACAUUGCUAAUAGAAGGAAACUUCCUACUAGAAGAAGAUCUCACCAACCUACCUUUGUCGAUUCAAGAUCCCGAGCUAAUAAUCUGAGCAGUUGAAUCUCGGAUUAGGAGAAACACUGUGAGUUUACAAUGUUUUGGAAGGAAAGGAAGUUGAUAUCAACAAAGUUUGUUGAUCUAAACUAGUUUCAUGUCUAUAGAUUUCAGUUCCCACCUCUUCUAUUUCAUCAAGGUAUUCAGUCUUUACUGGAAUUACAAGAUAAAUAUGAUCUUGAUUUGGUUCAUGUCUUUUAUUUCAAUUUCAAAGCAAGAGAUGAGAUAUACUCUACUAGAGUCAAAGGAGUAGAUAUUAUUUUGGAUGAUAUUUGGACCACCUGGUGCAACUUCAACUUGAUGAAGAUAUGGUGAUGCUAACCUGGGGGCUCGAAGGCUUUAAUAAGAUCUUGGCCUUUCAUUCAUUCCUAAAGAAUCCUGAGGUUUAAGUGAAUAGGAAGUGGUUGCUGGUGGGUGGCCUCAAGGGAAAUGAAUGGCUUAUCCACUACUUGAUUGUGUCACUGUUGUGUCCUCGUGCUUCAAAUCAUGCUUACUGCUUAGAAGCCGACCUGAUGAUCAUUUAUGGGAUAGUCAAUGAAAUUAAGAUUCAUUGGCCAAGCCUCAUCUACGACACCAUGAUGAAGGCUAAGAGGUAUACACAUUAUCCUCUACCCUAUGCUUUGUUGGUUUUUAGGAUUUAUGAGUAUAUGGGAGUAGAUGUCUCAACUGAGGCAUUAUAGAGCACUAAUCCUGGCAACAAGAUUGACAAUUCUACUCUCCGUUAGAUGGGAUUCAUGUUGUCAGGCAAUACCUACAUCCAUCGUAAUGAUGUGGGGAACCCAAAAGAUGAAGAUGGCGACCAGGAGAUGGACAAUGCCCAGGAUGAAGCGGGACCAUCUACACUAGCAUCAGCCAAUCACUCUUAUUCCUUAAAGAGUCUGUCUAGGCAAUUAUUGAUGUGUCUCUUUUUCAAGCCUCUAGGCAUGAGGAAGUUUUCUCUCUUAUUAGGGGAUUAGAUAACAGGGUCCAUGCUCUAGAGGGGUUAGUUGAACCUCUAAAUGCUGAUGAUAGUGAUGAGUAGUAGUCACCCCUCAUGCAUUUCAUUUACAUUUUGGCUCUCUUAUGUUAUGUUAUGUUUUAUUCUUCUUAAUAAAAUAAAUUUGUCUUAUUUCUUAUUGUAUCCUAUUUAUUUUUGGCUUAUAUUCAGGGGGAGUUCUACAAUUUAAGGGGAGAAUUUUUUCUAUACAUAACUCUUUUUAAUAAUGAUCAAAAGGGGGAGAAAUAUGUUUAAAGGCUUAAUUAUAUUUAUCUUUUGUUUACUAAUCCCUCUUCUUUAAGUUAUGUAUGAGUUACAAAUUAGUACAAGUAAGAAAAAACUUUAAAUCAAAGAAUCUUUUAUCAUCAUCAAAAAGGGAGAGAUUGUUAGCAUAAAGCUGAAGAGCAGAAAUUUUGAUGAUGUCUCAAAGUUAAGUCUCAAGUGCUCUUAUUGCAGGAUGAACUUCAUGAAGACUAGUUUUUAUGUUAAAGAUUUUGUUAUUUAGUGGAUUGAUGUAUAGGGUGUGAUUUAUAGUUGAUUUUGUGUAUUGUUUACUUUAGGUUGCGUUAAAAUUCGUUUUAAAUCAGAAAACUUCAUUUUAUACUCAAGAUAAUCGAUUACCACUUAUGAUAAUCAAUUAUCAAUAAUCGAUUAUGACGAGCAAUUAUGAGAUUUUUCAAGAAAGUUUUUUACCAUUGUGCAUUCAUUAAUGCAUAAUCGAUUACCAUAUCUGGAUAAUCGAUUAUUACACAUUAAAUAGCUGACAACGAAUUUUUGGAGGUAUUCUUGAGUGAGAUCUUUAUAAAUUAGAUUGAAACAGUGUGUGUUUCGAAAUUCUAACAUACAACAUACAAAAUAAGUGUAUUUCGAAAUUCUUAUCUACAGUGUGUGGUGAUAAGUGUUCUAGGGUUUAUGUAACCCUUGUACUGUGGCUUUGAGAGCUUGGUGUGUUGGUAUAAAGUGAGAACUUUCACUGGGAGUGUGAUUGAGUGUUGUUGUUGUUGCUGAGUUGAAAGUCUGUCAUUGAUAACGGUUUAAAACACCGUUAUUUGCUAUGUAAUUUUGAUACUAAAAGCACCCUUUUUCACUUAGAAACUUGCUUGGACUCAUAUCUUUUCAGUAAAAUGAGUGAAUAAGAGAGUUGAGGUUGAUUUCAAUGGUUUUCUAAUAAAUUCCCCUUGUUUUGAAAGAGAUUGAAGCAAUACUGGAAGAAGAAGUGAAAAGCCAAGAAGAUGGGGCUAAAAAGGGCUCAAAAAGACACCAAAAGGAGGGAAAACGCGAAGCCCGAGCUAUAAAGAACGAAAAACAGAGAGAUCACCAUCACCGUUGGUCGCUCGGGCGAUCGCCCCGACUCUUAGGCGACAGACGCUUGACGCCUGGGCAACAAAUUAUGACGUGUAGGCCUUACAAAAGCCUCAAAUCUCGCCCAGGCGAGCUCCUUACGACACUUGACGAUACUUCACCUGACGCGUAGGCCUUACAAAAGCCUCUCUUUUGAUUCUAUUGAAUCGGGCCACACUUUGGGAUGCAUUUGACACUAUUUAAAGGACCCUAGGGCUCUAGGUUUUGCAUCCCUGGCAGAGAAGAACAUAACAAUACACUCUUAGCCAAUUCUUAGUCUUCCAUUCUCUUCUUUUCUUCCAUUAUUCAUAGAGUUCCCCCAUGUCUAUGGGGAACUAAUUUCUAUUUGUUGUUGGGGAAUGAUGUAACCUUGUAAACUCUCAUGUAUUUGAAUUGAUUCUUAAUUUCAUAUGCUUUUUCAUUACUUGUUAGAGUCAUUCAUUUGUUCUUAUUGCUUGCUUAUACAAUAACAUGAUCUAUGAGUUGAAUGAGUGCCGACAGGUUCCUUUCAAUUCAGGUCCUUGUUGAAUUACUCCUAAGGGUUAUAUUGCUCAGAUGUGGGGGUAUGACUCUUAGUCGUCUUAACCUCUUGAUCUUCACAUCUUUUUACCAGGAAUGUUAGGAAUUGUAUGAACGAGUAAUUAGGGACAUGCUUAUUUACCGAGACAUCAAGCUUAAGUGUUUUAGUGAGGGACGUUGACAUUAAUACAAAAAGAAGAAUUCUUAUAUACAUGAGAGGGAACUUGGUGAAAUCUAACCCCAACAACAUAUUCAUCUCAUAUUAAUCAACCUCCGUUCAACUCUGUGCUCUGUUGCCACUGAUCAACUUUAUUUUGCUUUAUUUUAUUAUUUUUGCAAUACAAACCCACGAUCUCUUUUAUUCUAAGUCUUGAUUAAUCUUGUUUUCACACAACUGUUCAGCGCCGAGAGUCCUCUGGGAUACGAUACUUAGUCUUACCAUUUUAUAUUACUCAUGUGACUCGGUACACUUGUCGAUUUGCCCCAACAAGUUUUUCGCACCGUUGACGGGGACACACAGUUUAAGCUAUUCUAUUUGUGUGAUUCUAGAUUAAUUUUGACUUUAUUUUAUUUUUAUUUUUCCAUUUUUCUUUUUUUUCAUUCCCUAAUUUCUCUUUUUAAUUUUUAUUUUUGUGCUAACAAUAUUUUCUAGGGUUUUGUGUUUUGUUUAUGCAGGAUUGUGUGAGAACCAGAAGCAACAAAAAUUCUGAACCUCUUCUUGAAGGACUUGCAACUAGUAGGAGGACAAGAGGAAAUAGAUUAUCUAGAGAACCUUCUCUAGAGAAAAUUUCAAUGGCUUCCCAAACUGGUGAAGUAAAUGCGGAGACCAAUGCUAGUAUGUGCACCUUGGCAGAUUAUACCACAAUUGUGGGCCCUCAUCAUUUUAACAACAUUGCAAAGCCAAGGGUCAACGCUACAAAUAUGGAGAUGAAGCCUACCUUGAUUCACAUUGUAAAGAGCAACCAAUUCAAUGGACUGUCCCAUGAAAGUCCAUAUGAGCACUUGACCACCUUCACUGAGAUCUGCAACACUGUAAAUAUAAAUGGGGUACCUGAUGAGGCUAUAAAACUGAGCCUAUUCCCCUUCUCUCUUGGAGGUAAUGCUAAAUUAUGGUUGAACUCUUUUCCUAAAAAUAGCUUCACUCAGUGGGAAGAUGUGGUGACAAAGUUCCUCAACAAAUACUUCCCACAAUCACAGAUCAACAAAGGAAAGCAAGAGAACUCUUCUUUUAGCCAGGGCAAAGAGGAAACCUUGGGACAGGCAUGGGAAAAAUACAAAAGCUUACUAAGAAAGACGCCUACCCAUGGUUUUGAUGAAGGAACGGUGGUCAUUCUUUUCGUUGGAGUCCUUGAGUCACAAACUAAAUUGGUGCUAGAUGCAUCAGCUGGAGGCAACAUCAAAUGUAAGACCCCUGAUGAGGCCUAUGAAUUAAUUAAGAACAUGACUGUCAGUGACAAUGAGAUGCAUAGUGAGAGAGGAGCACCUACUCAACCUAAAGGAGUUUUUCAAUUACAGCCUUAUGAUGCCUUGCUCGCUCAAAAUAAGAUCAUCACUCAACAAUUGGAGAUUCUGACUAAGAAGGUGAUGCAGCCACAAAAGGAACACCAGAACGUGUCACAAAUUCAACAACAACUUUGUGAGUUAUGUGGUGGUGACCAUAUUAAUGGUCAAUGUGUAGUGCCCGAAAAUCUUAAUGAAGAAGUUAACUGCAUGGAAAACCAGAACCAGUUCCUCCCCAAUAAUUACAAUCAAGGGUGGAAAUCUCACCCAAGCAAUGGAUAGGGUCAAUUUGGGCACACUGGCAGGCAAUUCAAUAGGCCACCACAACAGUAGCAACAAUGGCAACAACAAACCUCUUUAUCUAACCGAACCACAAGGCUUGAAGAACCUCUCCAACAAUUCAUGCAGGCAACCUUGUCCACACAGAAGAGCACAAAUGCUGCCAUCAGAAACUUGGAGAUACAGGUUGGCCAAAUAGCUCAACAACUGAAAGAGAUGCCUUUUAAGAAUUUUGGGGCUAAUACUGAAGUUAACCCCAAAGAGGAAUGUAAUGUUAUAGCAAGCAUGGAAAAUGAGAGAAAAAAGAUAGAGAAGAAAAAGAGAGUGAGAAAGGAGAAAGAAAAAGAGGAGAAGAAAGAUUGAGUGAUCUAGAGAGAGAAGAAGAAAAAGAGAAAAAAAUUGAGAGUGAUGAAAAAAGUGAGAUUGAGAGAAAAGAAGAGGUUGAGAGAAAAAAAGAAGAAAAAGAAAAAAAUAACAAAAGUGAGAAAAAUGUCCACCAUCCUGAGGAACAUGCCACAAAAGAGAUGCGAGCAGGAUGUUUUGAAGAGAUCUCCAAAGAAUUGGGGAUAGAAAUCCCUAUGACAGAGGCCCUGCAACAGAUCGCUGAAUAUAACGAAUUUUUGAAUAGGCUCCUUAAAAAGAAAAAUUUACAAGAGGGGACAACUGAAAAACAAGGGGAUUGCAGCAUGAUCCUGCAGAGGACACUUCCUCCAAAGGUAGAAGAUCCAAGAAGUUUUACUAUUCCCUGCAACAUUGGAAACCACAAAAUUGGGAAAGCCUUAAUUGAUUUAGGAUCCAGUAUCAAUCUAAUGCCCUUAAUUGUUCUCAAAAAGAUUGGUGACUUCGAAGUUAAGCCGGCAAGAAUGUCUCUCCUCAUGGGAGAUGGAUCCCCUAAAAAACCCUAUGGUGUGGUAGAAGAUGUCAUGGUACAAGUCGCCAACUUGAUGUUCCUGGUAGAUUUUGUGGUGUUAGAGAUGGAAGAAAAUGCAAAGAUCCCUAUCAUUCUUGGAAGGCCAUUCAUGAAGACGGCCAAAGUAAUCAUUAAUGUUGAUGAGGGCACCAUAGCCCUUAAGGACCAAGAAGAAAAGGUGAUCUUCAGUGUCUGCAAUACUAGGCGGAAAACCCAAGUGAAGAAAAUCAAUCCCAAAGCCGCAUUCAAAGAUGCACCCGGGAGUGGUACCAAAGCCGCCAGAACAAAAAAGAAAGGUAAAAAGUGUUUUUUGUCACAGGUACCUCAAGAGGAAAAAGAUAGCAAAGGAGAAGAUGUUCACCAAAGUCCACUAAAGAAGCAGGAAGGACUAAGACCUGGCUUGCCUGUACAGUGCAACAAAAGACUUUGGGUGGUAAAAGAACUCAGAGCCGAUGGACUAAUAGAAAUUGAAUCUACUACUUCUAGGAGAACCAAAAAGGUGAACAGGAAAAUGUUAAAGACCAGUUGGCAUGCUAAAGGAAAAGAUAACACCACAAUCAAAGGUGCAACUAAUUGAUGAGCUUAUUGGGUCAAGCUAGUGACGUUAGAAACGCUUGCUAGGAGGCAACCCAGUGCUCUGAACUUUUACUUUUAAUUUUGUUUUUAUGUGUGUUUUCUUUUAUUUUAUUUUAUUAUGCUCUGCUUGAAUGAACUGAACUGCUUUGAUUCACCUAUGCUCUAUUUUGUGUGAUGGGUUUGCUUUUUGAAAAUUCUAGUGUUUGAUUGAAGUUGAGAUGAUGCAUGAUAAAUUUGUGAGACAGGUGCUUGAGAUAAAUUUUGAUUAAAAUACUAAGUAGGAUGUCUUUUUGAAUUUGAGAACUUGAGAUUACCUGUGUGAGUUUUGAGCUUCAGAGUAUUUUUAAAUUAAUUGUUAUUACUUUGGAAGCAUGAAUGAUUUUGCCCAAAUUUUCUAUGAUUGAACUACUUGCUUGCAGGUUCCAUAUGAUCAAGGUCAUCUUUUGUUAUCCCUUAUUCUUUUGGCCUUCACAAAAAUUUUGCCCACUGAGAAGAGAACAAUUUGUUCUAACCUUUGAACCUUGAGCUUUAUGUAUGUCUUGAAAAACCUUUUUGAAAAAUCUUUACCUUGAGUUAAGUUGAGAACAUUUGAGAAGGUAUAGAUAAAGGUUCAAGUUUGGGGUUACCAGGAAAUAAUCCACUUCUCUGGGCAGUGAGCAAUCAAAAGAAAAAUCAAGUGAAAAGCAAAGGAAAAAGAAAAGAAAAAGUGGGAAGAGAAAAAUUCAAAAAGAAAAGAAAAAGCUCACUGCAAGGGAAAGCUGGGAAAAAGAAAGAGAGUUUUGCUCUUAAAUGGUAUUUACACAAAUGUCUCUCUUAACUCAAGAAACUUUGCUGACUAGAAAAACCAAUUUCCUUCUUAGCCCAGCCAAGUUACAAGCCAUAAAAAGUCCUUGUGAUGAUAACCUGCUUGUAAGAAUGUUUGAUGGUGGUUAAACGAAAGGCAAAAAUUAAUUUGUGUGACAUCGUGAUAAUAGAGGGAAACACCACACCAUACACCUGUGAGCUAAGUAAGACACUUUUGAGAACUUGAGUGAUAUACUUUUGAGUGCUUGAGUGAAACACUUUCUCUGGUGAGGAAUAGUUCUCUGAAUUUCUGAUUGCAUUUUUGCUUGGUUGAUUGAUCAUUCUUAAGGAUAGCACCAGAGCAUCACAUUAACUUUGAUUGAAUUCUACACAUCUUGACUGAGAUCUUCAGGAUGAAUUGAUAAAAGUGAUACCUUGUCUUGAAAAAGUUUUUGAAAAAGGUUGAGUCAUUAUAGUGAUUGUUCUGAAAAGCUGAGUUACAUUUUGUUUGCUUGAGGACAAGCAAAGUUCUAAGUUUGGGGUUGUGAUAACGGUUUAGAACACUGUUAUUUGCUAUGUGAUUUUGAUAUUAAAAGCACCCUUUUUCACUUAGAAACUUGCUUGGACUAAUAUGUUUUCAAUAAAAUGUGUGAAUAAGAGAGUUGAGGUUGAUUUCAAUGGUUUUCUAACAAAUUCCCCUUAUUUUGAUAGAGAUUGAAGCAAUACUGGAAGAAGAAGUGAAAAGCCAAGAAGAUGAAGCUAAAAAAGGGUAAAAAAGACACCAAAAGGAGGGAAACGUGAAGCCCGAGCGAAAAAGAACGAAAGAAACUGAGAUCACCAUCACCGCUGGUUGCCCGGGCGAUGGCCCCACUUUGGGACGCGUUUGAAAAUAUUUAAAGGACCCUAGGGCUCUAGAUUUUGCAUCCUUGGCAGAGAAGAGCAUAACAAUACACUCUUAGUCAAUUCUUAGUCUUUCAUUCUCUUCUUUUCUUCCAUUAUUCAUAGAGUUCCCCCAUGUCUAUGGGAAACUAAUUUCUAUUUGUUGUUGGGGAAUGAUGUAACCUUGUAAACUCUCAUGUAUUUGAAUUGAUUCUUAAUUUCAUAUUCUUUUUCAUUAAUUGNAGAGGCAUGGCACUAGGUGUAUGUGAACUUUUGUGGAUUAAAAAUGUGCUAUCAGAUUUGGGAUUUAAACAAAAUGAAGUUAUGAGUUUGUACUGUGACAAUAAUUCGGCUAUUGCAAUUGCUCAUAAUCCUGUUCAACAUGAUAGAACAAAGCAUGUGGAGAUUGAUAGACAUUUCAUCAAAGAGAAGAUUGAAGCUGGAAUAAUUUCAUUUUCUUUUGUAAGAUCAGAGUUACAGUUGGCUGAUGUUCUCACUAAAGGAGUGUCAAGAAGAUUGUUUGAUGAGUCUCUAUUCAAGUUGGGAAUGUGUGAUAUCCAUGCACCAACUUGAGUGGGGGUGUUAAGAUAUGUCAAAUAUUCUAUUAAAGGAUAUUAGGCAAUCAAACAUUAUGUUAGUUAUAUUUUAGAUAUUAUUAUAAUUUGUACAUAUUUGUGCACAUGUUUUUUCUUUAAUAGAUGAAGGAUUAUAAGAUUCUUGUAUGUAUAUAUAUGGUACUCUAUUCUUUGAAAUAAUACAUCAAGAAUUUUUAAUCUUUUUAAUAAAAUUCACUACGCGUUAUUAACAUAUAUAAUUGAUUUAUUACAAACGGAUUACUGAUAACAAAAAGAAUUUGUCGAUGUUUAUUAAUACUGUUGUAAUGAACUAUUUAUAUGAAAAUUAGGUGAUCAAACUUGCUAAGAAUAUUAUUUCAAUUUUCUUUAAAGAUUUCUAGAAAAUUUUCUAAGGGAGGAAAACAUUUGAGGAUAAAUUAACGGAUUUCCAAACAUACUUUAUUCCCUGCUUUAAAAGUAGGAAUAUUGUUUAUAAAUAGGUUUAGUACGCUGAAAAUUUUUAUGAAUUUAUGUGAGUUGGUUUGGUGUGAACGAUUUUUUUUCAUUAUUAAUGAAAUUUACAAAUUAUUGAUACGUAUUAUGAUGUCAACCUAAGAUGUCUUUUUAAAUCUACUUAUAAAAAAACGCAUAUACUUUUUAAUUUUAUUUUAUUUUUCUUCUAUUCUAUUUCAGAUCAUUCAUACCACUUUUCUUUCUAUUUUUUUUUUUUUACUUUUUGAUAUUGUGGAGCUUAACUUUAGAAUACAAUAUUGGAAAAUCAAAAGUAGUUUGCUAUUUCUACAUAUAAAUAAUUUAUGGGAAUUUUGUGAGGGUGUUGCUCCCUCUACCUUUCUAGGUGGGGUUUGUACCUCUCCAAUAUUUUAAUUUAUUUCAAAAAUAUUCUAGACCUCCUCACUAUUUUCUUUUACUCCAAAAAUACCCUACAUCUCUCCUAUCCUUAACAAUCUUUCUCUUUCUCUCUCUAUAUUAAUGGAGCAUUUACAUGGCUCAUUAAUGAAGCAUUUACAUGACUCAUUAAUGAAGCAUUUACAUGACUCAAAUUUGAACUUGUGAUAUAUAUUUUCUUAAAUAAGUUUGAUUGAAUCUUAUUUUUGUUGUUGAAUAUAUUUUUUUUCUUUUCAAAUUACUUAAUAAAUGAUAAAAUUUUGUUCUAAAUUUCUAGAAAAAUGUUUAUAUAUAUGUGUGUUUUUUUAUAUAUAAUAUCUAUCAUUUUUAACAUUAUAUUAUGUUUUAACUCACCGACAUNNNNNNNNNNNNNNNNNNNNNNNNNNNNNNNNNNNNNNNNNNNNNNNNNNNNNNNNNNNNNNNNNNNNNNNNNNNNNNNNNNNNNNNNNNNNNNNNNNNNNNNNNNNNNNNNNNNNNNNNNNNNNNNNNNNNNNNNNNNNNNNNNNNNNNNNNNNNNNNNNNNNNNNNNNNNNNNNNNNNNNNNNNNNNNNNNNNNNNNNNNNNNNNNNNNNNNNNNNNNNNNNNNNNNNNNNNNNNNNNNNNNNNNNNNNNNNNNNNNNNNNNNNNNNNNNNNNNNNNNNNNNNNNNNNNNNNNNNNNNNNNNNNNNNNNNNNNNNNNNNNNNNNNNNNNNNNNNNNNNNNNNNNNNNNNNNNNNNNNNNNNNNNNNNNNNNNNNNNNNNNNNNNNNNNNNNNNNNNNNNNNNNNNNNNNNNNNNNNNNNNNNNNNNNNNNNNNNNNNNNNNNNNNNNNNNNNNNNNNNNNNNNNNNNNNNNNNNNNNNNNNNNNNNNNNNNNNNNNNNNNNNNNNNNNNNNNNNNNNNNNNNNNNNNNNNNNNNNNNNNNNNNNNNNNNNNNNNNNNNNNNNNNNNNNNNNNNNNNNNNNNNNNNNNNNNNNNNNNNNNNNNNNNNNNNNNNNNNNNNNNNNNNNNNNNNNNNNNNNNNNNNNNNNNNNNNNNNNNNNNNNNNNNNNNNNNNNNNNNNNNNNNNNNNNNNNNNNNNNNNNNNNNNNNNNNNNNNNNNNNNNNNNNNNNNNNNNNNNNNNNNNNNNNNNNNNNNNNNNNNNNNNNNNNNNNNNNNNNNNNNNNNNNNNNNNNNNNNNNNNNNNNNNNNNNNNNNNNNNNNNNNNNNNNNNNNNNNNNNNNNNNNNNNNNNNNNNNNNNNNNNNNNNNNNNNNNNNNNNNNNNNNNNNNNNNNNNNNNNNNNNNNNNNNNNNNNNNNNNNNNNNNNNNNNNNNNNNNNNNNNNNNNNNNNNNNNNNNNNNNNNNNNNNNNNNNNNNNNNNNNNNNNNNNNNNNNNNNNNNNNNNNNNNNNNNNNNNNNNNNNNNNNNNNNNNNNNNNNNNNNNNNNNNNNNNNNNNNNNNNNNNNNNNNNNNNNNNNNNNNNNNNNNNNNNNNNNNNNNNNNNNNNNNNNNNNNNNNNNNNNNNNNNNNNNNNNNNNNNNNNNNNNNNNNNNNNNNNNNNNNNNNNNNNNNNNNNNNNNNNNNNNNNNNNNNNNNNNNNNNNNNNNNNNNNNNNNAUAUAUAUAAACAUUUUUCUAGAAAUUUAGAACAAAAUUUUAUCAUUUAUUAAGUAAUUUGAAAAGAAAAAAAAUAUAUUCAACAGUAAAAAUAAGAUUGAAUCAAACUUAUUUAAGAAAAUAUAUCACAAGUUCAAAUUUGAGUCAUGUAAAUGCUCCAUUAAUGUAGAGAGAGAAAGAGAAAGAUUGUUAAGGAUAAUAGGGAGGUGUAGGGUAUUUUUGAAAUAAAAGAAAAUAUGAGAAGGUGUAGAAUAUUUUUGAAAUAAAUUAAAAUAGUGGAAAGAUACUGGAGAGGUGUAGGGAGCAACACUCUUGUGAACAUAAUCUUUAAUUAAGUAUUUAAAAUGGCCUACUACUUCCUGUACCCCAUUUGUUUUGUCCUGCACCUCUAUAGUUUGUAAAAUUCCCGUUCUGUCCUUAUAAAUUUAUAAUAUAUUCUCACUAUCUCCACUCCUCUUUCUUCCUUCUCCGCCUCCAUUCCCUCAACCUUUCUUCAUCUUCCACGCAUUCACCCCUCAACCCUUCAUCUUCCUUGACUCUUUGGUCACCAUUGAAGCUUUAGAAGCUUUGUAACAUAAGCAAGGCUCUCCAUUGAUUCAAUAGAAGUAUGAACUUUGGUUUAGUUUUGUUUUCAUUGCCGAAUUAAUGAAUCCAGAAUAUAUUAUCGAAUCUGGAAAAGAGAUUUCAGAAUGAAUAAUCUAGAACUUUUUAUUAGAAAUAACACAUGAACUAUCAUCCAGAAUAUAUUUCCAAAUUCUGAAGAACAUUCUAAAUUGUAUUUAUCAAAAUAUGUUUUUUAUUUUUUUAAAGUAUAAUCCGAAAUGUUAUUUGAAAUCCGGAAAUGCAAUCGGGAACACAAAAACUUUUUGAACUGUUAUGUUGUUGUGUUUCCUCCUUCCUUCACUGUCAACAAAAUAACUGUCAAAUCUUUGUCACACCACCAUGGCCACCGACCUUGGAAGCAUGAAAUUCCUUUAUAAUUUGAAGUUGGAAUGAACCUCCUUUCAACUUGCAAGUAUAAUGACAAUCCUGCCAAUUGUCUUGCAAGCACUGAUUAAAAAUUACUGCUAAGUGUGUAUCUUGCUGAGUGCCAUCUGCCAUUGCUUUUAACCACUCAUUAUUAGAUUCAGACCAAGCCAUCAUACAACUGCGCAAUAAUGCAUCUGCAUCUAUAUUCUCUUUCUCGGGCUUAUAUUGGAUUGUCAAAUCAUAGCCAAGAAACUUCGGCAACCAUCGUUGUCGUUUUCGGGUUUGUAAAUUCUGCUCUUUUAUCUAUCCCAAAAUUUGUGGUAAAGAAGAUAAUGUCGAAAUUUAGCUAACGCUUCCGUGAUUGCAUAGAACUCCCGAGUGUAGGCGGAUUGGCGUUGCAUCCUCGAUGACACCUUCAUUGUCAAGACAACUAAAACUCAAAAUAAUUCAAAAAUAUUUAAAAUUAAAAAACAUAAAAUAGGCACCAGUCCAUCCCAAAAAACAAUUAUACUUAAAAUAAUUAUAGAAUUUUUAAAGCCAGAAAACAUGGUACAAGCUUCGAUUUUUCAUAUAACCAAAAUUUAUUGGUAUUAUAUGUGUCGAUUCUUCUAAAUAACUAUAUAAAAUUAGAAAGUGAGGGAAUGGGAACCAAUUUUGUAGAUUACUGAAACCUAUUUUUUUUUAAUAUAUUUUUUUUUAUAAUAACCAAAUCUUUAUGCUUUGGCUUAGAUAAUAAUUGAAGUCUAUUAUUAAUUUGUCUUGAUAUAUUUUUUGUUUUGGUUUUUCUAUAUAAUAACGAACUUGGACAACUUGAAACCAUAAAAGAAUACAGACAGAAACUACGGCAAAAUACAGACAGUAUUUUAAAUAAUAUACAAAGUAUAUUUUAGAAUAUAGAUAAUACUUUACAUAUUGUAUAAAGUAUAUUUUAUAUCUAAUAAUGAUUACAAAGUGGAUUUAAUCAAAUUAGUCUACAUAUUUUAUAUUGUUUCAGCGGGGUUCGAGGAUCGGUUGAUCUUUCUUCUCUGUUCUCUGUGGGUGGUUUUAAUCCCUCUUGAGAAUACAAUUCUGCGAUGGACCUCCAAAAGGCACUCCGACACUCAAGUUAGAUAUGUUGGAUGGAGAAGUCUACAUAUUUUAUUUAGGAUAGCUCAAGGUUCUCUUACCUACGUCAGUGAUAUACUUACAAGGCUUGUGUAACUAAGCACAUUGAUUAAUCAUUAAACCACACCAUCAAAUUAAAUAAUACAUGUUAAUUGUCCAUUAAUAUCAGAUUCUUGUACAAUAUGACCUGUUAAUCACUCAUAAAUAGUAUAUAUUCACAUUUAAUAUGACCAUUAAACAUAUUAAUUGGUCAUUAAUGAUUUUUACCUUUCCUGAUUGGUGUUUAUCUAACCAUCGGACGGUUGCCUGUUUUGACCCCGGAUUCUUCCUAGUCGGUCGGUCGUCGGGAUAUAGUACAUUAAGCCCCCCAAGCCUCGAGCAGUUGUUUGCAGGUGUGAAGGGGUUUAAUUAUGUCGGACGAAUUUGGACGAAAGUGAGAGUUCACGAGGAGCAUUCCCCACCGCUCGGUUUAGGAUGAGAGUGGGAGUUCACGAGGAGCUUGCCCCACCGCUCGGUUUAGGACGAGAGUGAGAGUUCACGAGGAGCUUGCCCCACCGCUCGGUUUAGGACGAGAGUGAGNAACUAAUUUCUAUUUGUUGUUGGGGAAUGAUGUAACCUUGUAAACUCUCAUGUAUUUGAAUUGAUUCUUAAUUUCAUAUUCUUUUUCAUUAAUUGUUAGAGUAAUUCAUCUGUUCUUAUUGCUUGCUUAUACAAUAACAUGAUCUGUGAGUUGAAUGAGUCCCGACAGGUUCCUUUCAAUUUAGGUCCUUAUUGAAUUUCUCCUAAGGGUUAUAUUGCUCAGACAUAAGGGUAUGAGUCUUAGUCGUCUUAACCUCUUGAUCUUCACAUCUUUUUACCAAGAAUGCUAGGAAUUGUAUGAACUAGUAAUUAGGGACAAACUUAUUUACCAAGACAUCGGGUUUAAGUGUUUUAGUGAGGGACGUUGGCAUUAAUGCAUAAAGAAGAAUUCUUAUAUACAUGAGAGGGAACUUGGUGAAAUCUAACCCCAACAAUAUAUUCAUCUCAUAUUAAUCAACCUUCGUUCAUCUAUGUGCUCUGUUGCCACUGAUCAACUUUAUUUUGCUUUAUUUUAUUAUUUUUGCAAUACAAACCCAUGAUCUCUUUUAUUCUAAGGCUUGAUUAAUCUUGUUUUCACACAACUGUUCAGCACCGAGAGUUCUCUGGGAUACGAUACUUGGUCUUACCAUUUUAUAUUACUUAUGCGACUCGGUACACUUGUUGAUUUGCCCCAAUAGUCAUCCUUUGUGAAGAUUCAAAGGAGGUGUUCAUCCUUUGUAAAGAUUCAUAGGAGGUAGUCAUCAUUCGUGAAACAUUCAGAGGUGGUGGUCAUCCUUUAUGAAGCAUUCAGUGGAGGUGUUCAUCCCUUGUGGAUUGUAGGGAAAGUAAGUUUCAUCUCUUGGGGUAACAAGAGAGGUGUUCUAACCUUCAACUUGUUUAUUUUCUUUGUGAUUAUAACAAUUUGUUGAUUUGUGCUAGUGAUGCGUUAAUUCUUGGUUGAGAUUAACUACUUGAUGUAGGGUCUGUUUGAUCCGAACUAGUAUAAAAAUUACUUAUGCAAUUUUCUCUCUUCCUUACUCUUCAAAUUUGUUUAAAUUAUUUUAAGGAAUUUUUAUAUUUAUGAUAAAAUUAUUAAAAGAAUGAUUUGCGAUAGAAAACCAAUUCAUCCCCUCUUAGUUUGUUGAACACGUUAACCAUUCCGUUGUAUCGCUUUGGUAGUAUCCGUCGAGCAAUUUGGAUGAGCAAUUAUACCCAAAACUUAAGACUUCACAACAACUUUCAGACUUUAGACGACCCACCAUAACUUUGAUCAUUGACCUUGACCUUACAUCCCCAAAUAUAGAAGUUUUUUUGUUGAGAGGAUGAAGAGUUUGAUCUUUGUAAUGGAGGAAGUUUGUGAAAAUAAAACAACAAUAAUAUUUUAACAUUUAAAUUUUUAUUUAUUUAUUUAACACUAUUUUUAUUAUUUUUUAUCUUCCUUUUUUAUAAAUAAUAUAGAAAAUUACUUUUUUUUAAUAACCAUUGUUUCCCACGCAGUAGAUUAUUAAGUGGUUUUUCUUGUCAAUAAUCUUUUUUCCUUCCCAACAUAUGUGAUGGGUAAGUGCAUGCCUAGAGAGAAGUAUACUAAAGACAAUUAAAAGAAUGAAUGAAAAAUAAAAGCGGAAAAAGGAAAGAGAGAGAAAACUUAUGACUCGUAGACACGCCACUUGAGAGAGGACUCCAAGAUAAGUGCCGAAGAAGGACCGCCCUUGCUUUGCAGAAGAUAAGAUCUGCCCAAAAUGGACUAAAGAGACAGAUGCCUAUCUUUACGAAGAAUGCAAAAUUGCAAUUCAAUCUGCAAAUUGAAUUGAUUCAAAGGUUUUUUUACAAGGAGAACCCCUAGGCUUACUUAUAUAGCUUUUGAAAGGAAUUUAGUGAAGAGUUUCAAGCAAUGUGAGACUUCGAAGGCCCCAAGACCUGGCCAGUAGCUGCAACAGUGCCCCUAGGUGCUUGGAGUCCCACAUUGCUUAUUCUCUCAUUCCAAAGGGGUUUAUAAACCACCUAGCUCUCCUAAAUUUCAAAAAAUGAAAACAUGCUAUGCUACCUUGCACUACAAGCUAAGACGCCUUUUUUCCUCUUCUUUUCUUUUAUGACCAAGCCAUGGAAAGUCCCACGUUGCUUGUGCUUAAAGGAAAAGAAGAGUUUAUAAGAGUUUAUUCAACUAGAACUAAUGAAAAGAAAUAAAGAGGCAAAUACAAGCCCAUGAAACAUAUUCUACUCUUUUAUGCUCUUCUGUAACUCUGAAAACUCUUCAUUGUUGCCCUAUUUAUGAUCAUAUCAAUAUGGCACAUAUUAGAGCUAAGGUUAGGCAUAAAUAACUAACUUUACUACAUUAUAGUUAAUUAUAUUAUAUCAUACUAAAAAAAGUAAUCCAUUUUUACUAAACCUAAGUAUAUUUCUAGUUUAGUUUUGAAAAAUUGAACUUAUUAAAUUUUCAGUUCAGUGUUAAUUCUUUGAGAACUCUCUCGUGGUUUUCUUCACUCUCUUAUUUUUCGUUAUUCCUAAAAUGUGAAUCAGAGCAUACGAGAGCUCCAACGAAAAUCCAUGGUGACCUUCCCUUGCUCUGACGUGAUGCGGUUGUUGCCUACCGUGACCUUGUCAUCGAAAGAGGGCUCCAACGAAAACCCACAGUGACCCUGCCUUGGCCCUACCGUGACGCGCAACCUAUGCCAUCAGGACCCUGUCACAAAGGAGAGCUCCAACGAAAACCCAUGGUGACCCUACUUUGACCCAGCCGUGCUGUAAUUGCUUCCCACCGUGACCCUGUCGUCGAGGGUCCCUACCGCAUUUGCUAUUGCUCCAAUCGUCGAGGGACUUGGUCAUAGGUUUUACUGCAUUGAUCAUUGAGGGGCCUUGUGUUAUUCACUACCGUACCGAUCGUCGAGGUAAAAAGUGAUAUGAUUAUUGUGUUGCUUUACUUUGUGCUUUCCUUAAACCUAUGAUAAACUUGAUUUUGAAAUCAUGUCAACUUGUUAAAUUCUACACCACCAUUCGAAUAUGUUGCUGAUAUUUGACAAACGUUACUCAAGAAUGGCUUCAGGUUCUUCUACAAAAGAAAUAUCAAUAAUAUGGUUAGACACAACUAAGCAAUUUGUAGCAUCACCAAUGUAUUUCUUUAACUGGAAAACAUGGUAUGCAUUGUGAAUUUGAGAAGUUCUUGGUAACUGUAACUUGUAGGCACUGCCCCGACAUUAUCCAUCCCUAGAAAAAUACCAUAGUACUUAUGAGCCAAUUUUUCAUUAAUUAUAGUUGUUGUUGAGUCUUGCCUGUAGGAAUGAAGUUUCUAAUAAAUUUAAAGGCAACUACCUUGUAGGGGCAUUUGCAGGAUUAUGUAGAUUAGGAACUUCAAUUUCUUACUUGAUUGUCUUACACAUUAACACAUUGGGACUCUAAGGUCAUGUAAAGCAUUAAGUUGACACGCACUAUUAAGACUUUGGGUGUCGUGUUUGUAGAUUUAGGCUAUGAGAUGGGUUAAGUGAGUUACUGCAAUGGCUUUUGCCAUGGAAGUGCUCAUUGGAAGUGUUAAACUAUAAAGAUGAAGAGAAACAUUAAACUGAAAAUGUUGUGUGGUUUAUUUAUAUUGAGAGAAAGAAAUCAGUACAAUACAUGAAGGGUAUUUGAUAUCCUCUAAUAAUAAAGAUAUGAUCCUAUAGUAAUACAUAUAUAAUCUUGAUAUUUUGUUUAUAAAGAUAUUAUUUUGAUAUAUAUAAUUAUAACACUCUCCUUCAAGUUAGAAUAUAUAAGUCAAAUGUAUUCAACUUGCUAUAGAAUUGAUCAUUGGUCAUCUUAGAGAUGAAGUGAAUGUUUGCUAGUUGUUCACUAGAUUUAAUAACUAAAGAUUGUUGUUGUUUUCAUUUUAUAUUCCUUUAUAUUAGUCUGAGUUUCUAUACCAUUAAUAAUUUCAGUUUGUACGUGAUCCACGAUUUGAAUCUCUUUUGUGGUACACUUGACCGUUAAAGAUAUGUUGAACUUUAGACAUUUUCUUUGGAAUUAGUAUUUACUCACAUAAUUGAUACUUCUAGCUUAUGUCAUAGGCUCAUAGCAUUGCUUUCUACAUAUUUUAUUUCAUGAUUACUGUAACUAGAAUUUAUACUAUGAUAUGAACAAUUUAAUGCAAGAGAGUUUUUUGUUCCUGUUAAUGCAUUCAAUUAUUUUAGUUUUUGUGGAUGGUUAGGAUUUCUUCACCGGUUCCAUAAAUGUUUAAUUUUGAACUAAGAUUAGUAAGACUGAAUUAUCUAAUAUGAAGCAGCAACCUAUCCCACUGGCAACCCUGAUUGGCCGGGAGCUACGAAAUGGAAAAAUUAAAAAGCCUUUUGUUAAGUUUGGGUGUUAAGACUCUGGCAAGUGUACUGAAUCGUAUUAAGUAAUAUAAAUGGUAAGACCAAGUAUCAUUUUCCCUAGAGACUCAUUGGCCUAGACAGUCAUAUGAUUUGUUAAUUAUUUAAGACUUGAGAAACAAAAAUCAGUGUUUAUAAUGCAAAACAGAAAAUAAACAUGAAUGCGGUUGUUGAUCAAUUGACCAAAAGAAUACUCAGGUGAAUGAUAUAUGGAUGAAUUAUGUUGUUGGGGUUUUCGACUUUAUCCUGUCCACUCUCAUGUAUUUACGAAUUCAACUCUUUCAUUAAUGUCAAUGCCACUUUCUAAUGUACCCUAAACUCGAUGUCUUGGUGAAGAGAGCCUACUCCUAAUUACUAGUUUACAAUGUCUUGCCUCCCUAGCAAUUUAUCAUGCAUUACAUUCGCACAGAAGCUUAAAGGCAAUUGGUCUUGCUAUCCGUAUGUCUAGGUAAUAUUGCUCCUGAGAGAAUUUCCCCAAGUCUAGAUUUUCCCGUAUGUGUCCAUAUCGACAAAAUCAAUGAUCAUGCAAUUGAGUAAGUUAAACAAAGCAUGCAUAGAGUAUAGAGGAAAAACCCUAAAAAUCAAUGAAGUAAAGCAUUUGCAAUAUAAAUCAAUUCAAUACAUGAGAGUUUCAAAGGAUUAUAUUGUUUCCCCAACAACAAUGGAGGUUUAGUUCACCAUAAACAUAGUGAAACUAGAUGAAAACAAUGAAAAGAAUGAAAGAUAAAACCCUAGAAUUUGUAUAUUGGAGCUUCCACAUCCAAAUUCUGCCUCCGAGGUGUGAAGAGAGUGUUUCUACGCUUCUUUCUGUCCAAAAAAUAUCCUCUCUACGUCGUGCAAAUCAAUAUAUAGUUCAUAAAAAAUAGCAGAAACUGGCCUAGGCCCAUGAGAUUGGCGCUCAACGCUGGUUUUGCCGCUCAGCGGUAGGCACGAGACUCAAAAAUAAUGCUCAACGUUGACGCCCAAGCUCCUAGCAGUGAACUCUUUGAAAAGGCUGACACUCAGCGGUCACUACAACACUUGGAUUUUCCCCUCAGCAUUGGCGCUUAAGUGUCGUCCAGAGAACUCCACAACGAAGCUAGCACUCAGCAGUGGAAUUGGCGCUCAGCGCCAUCUGCAAUUCUUCUAUUAAGCACUUUUCCAACUUCUCUUGAGUCCAAUUCCCUACUACCUCAGUUUUUUUCAUUCAAUUCAUGUUAAUUCCUGCCAAAACAAGGAAAACCAAGCAUAAUACUAAUAAUACUACCUUCAACUCUCUUAUUCUUUAACUUAAGUAAAAAGCAUGAUUUCAAGCUAGUUUCUAAGUCAUAAAAGGUGUGUUUAGUGUCAAAUUUAAGUAUAAAAAUAACGGUAUUUCAACCGUUAUCAAUGGGCAAGUUGGUUUGGCAAAGAAAGGAGAAUAUUACUUUCUAAUCAAGACAGAUUGCAAAAGAGUUCCUGGGGAUUCAUCAAUGUCUUUGUUUACAUUUUCAGUUGUAUUUACUUAACAUGAUUAGCGUCCUUUUUGCUUUUGGUGAAAUGUUAUGGAUAGAUAGCUGAAUAAUGACAAAGAUGAGAAUUUGUCCUAACAUAAGCCUGAAUUGGUAAUCAGUAAUACAAUUAUGCACAUUGGAGACAUGUUUGUUUCUCAGGUUUAAUAAAUAAAUGACAAUUGAAGUGCAUGUUUUCUUUCUUCUCCUAAAUUUUUCUCAGUGAUCAAUUAGAGCCUCAAUUUAUUCCCAUAAUGGUUAUUGUAUCCAUAAGAAAUUCUUGAUUAAGAGAACUUUGAUGGGCAUAAUGGUAUAUGUGUUGUUAUCUUUGUGAAGGAAAACAUACUAAGUAAUUUUUUGAGUGCAAUAUCGCAAGAUAUCACUAGGGAUGAGUGGCUUCAAGCUCUGCCUCAUGCUCUAGUUGUUGCUUUUGUGAAAAUCAACAAAGUAGAUGAUAACGGUUCAAAAACCGUUAUUUGUACACUUAAAUUUGAUAUAAAACACACCCUUUAUGACUCAGAAACUAGCUUGGAAUCAUGCAUUUUUGCUUAAGUUAGAGAAUAAGCGAGUCAAAGGUGGUUUUAGUGGUAUUAUGUUUGUUUUUCCUUAUUUUGGCAGGAUUUAACAUGAAUUGAAUGAAGGAAGUUGAAGUAGGAAGGAGUAGGAAGGAGUUGGACUCAAGAAAAGAUGGAUAAGUACACAAAUGAAGAAACGUAGCCACCGCUGAGCGUUAGGCCACCGUUGAGUGCCAGCUUCGCUGAAUAGUUCUCUAUCAAACGCUCAAGCACCAAUGCUGAGGGGAGAAUUUGAGUAUCGCGCCCACCGUUGAGUGUUAUCCACCGCUGAGCGCUGGUUUCUAUAGUGAACUCGCUUUCAGACGUCUGGCGUCAACGCUGAGCGUCCAUCUUGAGUGUCGUACCCACCGCUAAGCGGUGACCCAGCGCUGAGCGCCACUGCUUUGGGCUUGGGCCAGUUUCUCCUAUGUUUUAAUGAAUUAUAAAUAGAUCUGCAUGACCUAGGUGGUUUAUCUUUUGGCAGAAGAGACGCAGAAACACACUUCUCACCCCUUGGAGGAAGAUUUUGGAUGUGAGAGCUCCAACUUAUCAAAUCUAGGGUUUAUCUUUUCAUUCGUAUCAUUGUUUUCAUCUAGUUUCACCAUGUCUAUGGUCAACUAAUUUUCCAUUGUUGUUUGGGGAAACAAUGUAAUCCUAUUGAAACUCUCAUAUAUUGAAUUGAUGCUUUAUUCAUAUGCUUUCUUUUAUUAAUUUAGAUUUUUUCCUCCAUUACCUUUGCAUGCUUUGUUUAAGACAUUAUCCAGUAGCGUGAUCUUUGAUUUUAUCUAUAUGGACACAUGUGGGUAGAUCUAGACAUGAGGAAAUUCUCUCGGGAACAAUAUUACCUAGGCAUAGGGAUAGGAGGAUCGAUUGCCUUUAAGCUUCUGUGUGAAUGUAAUGCAAGAACAAUUGCUAGGGAGACAAGACAUUGUAAACUACUAUAGGAUAGGCUCUUUUCACCAAGACAUUGGGAUUAAGGUAAUUUAGAAAGUGGCAUUAACAUUAAUAAAAAAGUAGAAUUCGUAAAUAUAUGAGAGUGGAUUAGGACAAGUCGGAAACCCCAACAACAUAAUUCAUCCAUAUCAUUCAACUGUCAAUUGAUCAACUUUUGCAUGUGCAUAUUUAAUUUUCGUUUUAGCAUUACAAACCAUAAUUUUUAUCAAGUCUUAUAUAAUCAACAAAUCACAUGAAAGCCUAGGCCUAUGAGUCUCUAAGGAAAUGAUACUUGGUCUUACUACUUAUUAUUACUUGAUACGAUUCGGUACACUUGUCGGAGUCUUAAUAGUAGACCAAUUUAGUAUUGAACAAUUAAAAGUUUGAGGGUAAUAGUUGGUUCAACCAAGGUUGUCAAACUCGAGAGUUUACGUAAACUCGUGAGAGUCCAAUAAACUCGACUCGUAAACUCGUAAGAGUUUACUUUGCAUGAAAAAAAAUAUAAAUAACAUCCUUCCUAAUUCAAAUAAGAUAAAAAAAUUGUAUAAAUUGAAAUAGAUAAAUUCAUAGAAAUAUUGUUCAUAAAAAUAUAAUGUAAACAUAAAUUGAAAUGUCAAAGUCUCUAUGCAUAAUCCUCUAAUAAUGGCAUCAUCAUCUCCACCAUCAUCCUCAUCUAACUCUUCCUCUGAUGAAUGUUGUGCAUCCUCAUUGUUCCCAAAUGUUAUGUUAUCAAGAUCAAAAGCAUCUAGACCAGGAUAUGUUGUUACUCCAUCUAAGUGAACAUUUUAACCAUCAUUUCCACCUUCAACUUGAUCAAUCUCAACAACACCAUCUGCUUCUUCAGCUAUCCAUUCAUCAUCCGAUUCAAUGUCAUCAAAUGGAAGAGGUACAAUUUUUCGAAUUUGUCUACUUUUCAGCUUGGAGUUAUACAUCACAUAAACUAAAUCAUUCAUCUUUUUUUGAUGCAAACAAUUCCUUCUCUUUGUAUGAACCUAAAAUAAAAUAUAAUAUUUUUAGUGAAGACAUAAACAUAAUAAAGGAAUUUAUAAUUUAAAAAUAAUUUAAAUUACCAUUUCAAAUGAGCUCCAAUUACGCUCACAUCCAGAAGAACUACAAGUCAAGCUUAGAAUUCGAAUAGAAAAUCUCUUCAACUUCGGAGUUCUAUCACUAAAGAUGUCCCACCAAUCCCCGGGAUUUAACUCUUUCCUACACUCCUUUGCAUCUUCCAUUCCAAAAUGUCCUCUAGUAUUAUGAAAUUCAACAAUUUGUAAAUUAAUUUUUCUUCUUUUUGCCAUAUCUGGUAUCAAUCUUCUCAUGCAAAAAUACAAUCCUUCUUUCACUUUUCCACCAUCACAACAUCUAAAGUUAGGUUCAUAGUGGAAAUGGGGGUUCAGAAAAUAGGCAGCUGCAUGCAAAUGCCUAUGAAGUUGAUUAUCCCAUCAAGCAUCAAUUAUUCUUCAAACCUCUUCAUAACUACAUCAAUUAUGCUAUAUCAGAAACAAUUUCACACAUAAGUAAUUAAAUGUUGAAUAAGUAAAACUUUGAAAAUUUACCUUUUUUUGAUAUUGUUAAAGUUAGACCUAAUCUUCUCUUUUGCACAAUCCAUCUCUUCAUAAAUGAAACCCAUUACGGAUUUUACAACUGAGUCUACUAAUCUUAAAACCACCAUAAGAGGGGCAACAGAUUUCAGGCAUGUGGAGACAUUCUUCCAGAACCGGCUAUCUAAUACCACAUAUUCUACUUUUCUGCCCUCUUGUGAAGUUCCAAACUUGUUUGUCUUCCACUCUUUCGAGUUAAACAUGGUCAACAAUGAUGCCUUCAAUUCAUGAAGACAAGCAAGAGUUAAAUAAGAUGUGGUAAAUCUAGUCACACCCAGUCUUAUCAAGUCUCUACCUUUAAUGAACUUUUUCAACAAGGAAAUCAACAUUGAUCUUCCAUAAAUGUAAGUGGUAAUCUUUCUUCCCUUCUUAAUUGUCAAAUUCCUAGACCUUUAAAUUUUUUUCAAAAUCUUCAAAUAUCAAAUCAAUGCAAUGUGCUGCGCAUGGAGUCCAAUACAAUCUUUCCAUCUUUUGCAUCAACAACUCUCUAGCUGCCUUGAAAUUUGCAGCAUUAUCAGUGACAACUUGAACAACAUUUUCUUCUCCAACAAACUCAACAACAUCACUUAACAUUUUGAAAACUUUAUUAGUUUUUUUUGGUAUGUCUCAAGUGUCAAGUGAAUAAAGAAAAAUUGUCCCUUUAGGACUAUUCACCAAGAAGUUACGAAUAGAACAUCUCUUUCUAUUUGUCCAACCAUCAAACAUAAUUGUACAUCCAGUUGUCUUCCACUCCUCCUUAUAACCCUCAAGGAUUUCAUCUGUUUUAUUCACAACUUGUUUCAAUAGCUUUUCUCUAAUGUCAUGAUAAGAUGGUGGUUUGUAUCCAACUUCAUACUCACCAAUCAUUUCAUACAUCUUUGCAAAUGUUAGAUUUCUAAUUACAUUAAAAGGAAUGACACUGGUGUAAAAGAAUUCAGCCACUUGAGCAUCAACUUCUUCUUUGUAUCCUUUUUUCAUCAUUUGAUUUACAGUUGCUUGGACUCCCCCCUUGCUAGUAGUAGCAACUUUUUUGUUUUCCUUUAAAACCGAAUAUCCUCCUUCAAAACUCUCACUUUCUUCCUCGUCUUCAUCGGUAUUUAUCUUUUUUUUCUUUAAUGAUGCAUUCUUGGCUUCAACAACUAUUUUUAUCAUUAAAUUGUUUAUUUAAUCUGAAACAGAACCACAAGGUUCAGAAUCCUCCCUUGUUCCAGCAAGAUGAUGUUUAAAUCUAAAUAUACCUCCACUCAUAAUCUUUGAACAAUAGUUACAUUUCACUUAUCUUCCAUUACCGUUAACAUUAAACUCAUAUUUCCAUCCAAUAUCAAAUCGAUAUCCCGAAACAUUUUUAUUUUUACUCUUACUGGAUGAAGAUGUAGUUACAUUAAUCUCCAUUGAAUUUAAUACAUUUCCAGACAUAAUGCUCUAAACUUUUUCACUAAAAAAUCAAUGGUAAGAAGAAUAAUUUAAUAUUAAAUAUUUUCUUCUACAUGCUAAAAUAAUUAAAAAAAUACUACAUAUGCGUAGUAAUUUUUAUUAUAAUAUCAAGACUUUAUUUAUAUAAUAAAAUAAUUUAUGAUAAAAACAUAAAGUGACAUUAUAAUGGUCACAAUUUGAUUAUAUAUAUCUUAAUACUCACGGUUUUCACUAUAAAAUCAUACAUAAUUUGUAUAACAAAAAUAUAUUAUAAUAAAAGUACACAAAAUCAGAACACCAUCAAUAUAAUAAACUGUUAUAUCUUUAAUGCUCACGGUUUUCAUUAUAAACUCAGACAUCAUAAAAUCAGGACACCAUUAAUAUAAUAAAAUAUUAUAAUAAAACUACACACAAUGACAUAAACGUCUAUAAUAAAAUAUUCAAGACUUUCAUCUCUUUAUUGAAAUUUAAUCAUGUCACAGACUUUAUUAUAAUAAACAGUGGCUCACAUCAAAUCACUUUCUUUAAUCAAAUUAAAAAUAUAUAAUUUUAUAGUAAAAUUUUUUAGCCCAGCUCAUGGCUUUUGAGUGAUAACUUAUAAUCACAUCUAAAAGCAAGCAUAACUCCAGUAAAAGCAUAACUCCGUAACUCCAGAAGGCUUUUGAAAUGAAAUUUUUUUUACUCAUCACCACACACAGUGACGCCACACAACAACUACGAUAAGUUGACAAUCACGACGACGAUCACCAGCAAGACGGAUGCAACUGUGAGUAUGAAGUACACCGGAACACAACCAUGAGACCACGAUCGAAAAUGCUAUAAAUGGCGACCACGAAUGCAGACAACGUUGGAGUGAAGCACAACGAAGAACCUAAUCAGGUCAUUAUAUACUAACUUAAAGGAAAUUUUCUUUGUUUUAUUUAUCUUUUUUAAACUCGCCAAAUUAUGACAAAAUCACGAUUUUAUACGAUUUUAACGAAUUUGCUAUCGAGGCUAACGAGUUCACUAAGAAACAAAUUUAUUAUCGAAUUAACUCGGUCAGUAUGAAUAAGAACGCAAAUUCGUCGCGAGUUAAGUUAAAUUAACUCGCGAAUUUGAUAACUAUAGAUGUAACAAUUUAGUCUUGGAAAAAAAUGAGAUUGAAUUGCAUUAUAAGUAAACUAAAUAAUAGUUCACUAAACUGUACUACACUACAAAUGAUCUAAAAAAAAUUCAUUCAGUUCAACCAAACUAUUUUUUAAUUCAGUUUAGUUUAGUUUAGAUGAAUUAUUUUAUAAUUAACUACACAUUUUUAUACUACAAUGCACUUCAGUAUACUUUAUCCAUUCCUAAUUAGAGCACCAUGAAGAAAUAAAACACGAACACUUUUUUUCAUAUUUACAUAACAGAGUAGAGUAAAUACAUGAUCUGAAAAAAAAAAUCAUAAAGCGCAAACAUUUUUUCCCAGAAUAUACGGAUGAUGAACAUGGAAUUAUAAUGGUAAAAGAAGAAAUUAAUGUUUAUUAAAUAAAAAAAGUUAUACCAAAAGUCAAGUUGAUACUAGUUUCUAUCUGAACUCAGGUGACAAAUUUUGAAGUAAGAAGUCUUUUCUCAAAGGGAUAAAAAUGACACGAACAAGAACUAAAUUAUCUCAAUGAGAUGAGAGUCAUUCGUUACUGAAAAAAGUUCAUUUAGAAGAACACUGAAACAACCAUGUUGAUCCAUCUUUCCACAACACAACAUUAAAAAACAUAAUCUCUGCAACAGUUUCUUAACAAACUUAAUCUAAGACUCAUUAUUGAAGGUGAAGAUGGUCAAGUUGACAUCAUUAUGUGCGAUGAGUCGACCACCGACAUUACCACCAAAUGCAGAACCAUGACGGGUGGAGAGAAUGAGCCCAAAGGAAAAGGAAGGCGGAGGGAUGAGUUCCAAGAGAGGGGUGUCUUGGUUGUGAUAUAAGUAGGAGCCAGUAAGAGAAACUAUGUUGAAUGGCCCAUAAAACCUUACAUCAGGGUUGUCACCAAGGGUUACCGAGGCAAUGGUACCAGAGGCACUUUGAAUAGUGAGACUGGUGUGAUUUUUCCGACCAACAUCAAGAAUGGAUUCAAUGAUGUCACAUCCAGAAGCUACCUUUACGAUGAUAAGCCUCACCAUAGAGGAUUCAGAAUCUGAGUUACGAAAGAGGAUGUUUUGGAGGGGAAAGUCUACCAUUGUAGAAGAAAAAAGGAUAUGGAUAGAGAACAAAGGUAGAUGAAAUGCUUUUGACUGAGAAUCUUAGAUGGAGAAAGACGAAAGAGCUUGUGAAUGAAUUUAUAGUUUGGAAAUGAUGGUGAUUUCUCAACAAAAUGAAAAACUAUUUGGGAAACAAAAAAUCCACCGAUUUUUAGGAAAGGUUAAAAAGUAACAUUUGACGAAUAUAUAUUUACAUUAAUUUAACAUGUAAUAUAAAAAUAUAUAAAAUAAAAUGGUUAUAAAAAAUAAAAUUUAAUAAUUUAAAAAAAAAGAGUAAAAAGUGAAAAUAAUAAUAAUAUCAAAUGUAAAAAAUUUAUAUUUGUCAAAAAGUAUAUUUUUUUAAGAUUGCAUUUGAAAAAAUGAUGUAACAGUGAGUAUCCAUUUUUAAGAUAUAAUUUUCUUUAUAAAAAGUAAAUAAUUGUAGUUGAGGAUUAGCGAAAGAUUAUAACAUUUUAAUAAAAUGUUUCUCUAAUACUUUUCAAUUAAUUUAAUAAAAAAUAUUUGUUUUAGUGUAUUAUUUUUGUUUUGUUUUUUUUGUUUAGUGAUAUGAAAGUCAGACUGACUUUAUCUCUUGAAAAAAAAUAUAUAUUAAUUGGUCUGAUUAUUUUAACCAAGUUGGUAAUUUGGAAUUCAGAAUAUAGGUAUUUGGUUCUAUUUUAUAUUGAAAUAAUUUUGAUGUUUGUAGUCAAUAUAAUUAUUUAGGAGGAAUAGCAUCUACAUUUUAAUAUGUAUAUAUUUUGUUCAUGGGUUAAUUAUACUUUUAAUUUUAUACUUUAACAUUUGAAUCCUCAACAUAAAAAAUCUAUAACAAUAUGUAAUAUAAUGUUAUUAUUUAAUGUAAAUAAUUUCUUUACUGAUUUUACUUUUAAUAAUAUUUCUAAGUUAUAAUGAAAAAUCUGAUAUAACAAAUAAAAUAAAAUGAAAUGUAAUAAAGAAAAAAUAAUGGAAAAAACUAAUAGAUAGAAACUCGCACUUAAAAUUAAAUUGUGUAUCUAUUUUUUAUAAUUAUUUUUUUAUUAUAACAAAACUUUGAUAUGAUAUAUAAUAUAUAAUAUAUGAUAACUUUUUUUUCAAACAUUCAUUAUAUUAAGAUAUUAGAUUGAUAUUUAAAAAAACUGUACAUUUUGUAUUUAAUAUACUUUCAUAUUUAAUGCUCAUUAUAUAUUUAAUACUUUCAUAAUUAAUGUCCAUUAUAUUUUAUUCUGUAUUUAUGAUUUAUAAAAUAUAAUAUAAUAUGACAUUAAAUAUUUUGUUCUGUAUUUAAUAUUUUCAUACUUUUUUCCCUGUAUUAUUUUAGCUCUUAAUCACUACAUGGUAAUAUAAUAAGAAAUCAAACACUUUCUUCUAAUGCUCAUUGAAUUUUAUUGUUUUUAUUUGUAAUAAUUUAUUAUAAAAUAUUAAUUGCUGCAUAUUUAAUGUGUGUAGGCCCACUAAAAUAUUACCCCAACUGUUUUUCUUAAAUUUUCUAUUCUUUUUCAGGUUGAAAAACUGUAUACUCUUAUAUCUUGAGUAUAUAUCUUUAGCUUAAUUAAUAAUUUUGUCCUUAUAUAUAUAAAAAUAUAAUUCACUUUACUUUUUAUAUAUAUAAACUCAAUGGCGAAGAAAAAAGAGUAUAUUGUUAUGCUCUUCUUAGUCAGGAAUACAAAAUCUAGAAUCUCAUGGUUCUUUAAAUAGUGUUAGAGGCGUGCCAAAAUAGAAUUUGGUCCAAAAGAGUUAAAACAGAGCAAAAACUAGGCCGGAUCAGCAAAACUCGAUGAUUGGGCGGCCUAGGAGCGUGCCCGGGCAGUGAACGAACCUCAUGUAAGGCUUGGGCCUUCAAUUAGACUCCUAAGCUUCGAGCCACGCCACUGGGGCGGCCAAAAUGGGCGCCCGGACGGCCAACGUCGAUUUCUGGCACUGAAAAACUACAUUCUGGUUGACUUUUCUACAUUUUGGUUGACUGAUUGACUUUUUUGGUUGACUGAUUGACUUUUCUGCAUUCAACUUUGACUUUUCAACACUACAAUUUGUUACCAAUAAGGAGUAUUGGUAAAUCUUGAAGAAUUGUUUUGAUGAUGCUGCAAGAAGUGUUAUUUGAAGAGGACAUUAGAAUUAUUUAAAAAGCAACUUGUAGAAAUUGAAUGUAGUAGGAAAGUCUUAAAUAAAUUGUAAACCUUGCAUUUUCUACUGGAAUAAUCGAUUAUGAACAAGUAACAAUCGAUUAUCACUUGUAUUUUGUACUAGAAUAAUCGAUUAUGGACAAGCAAUAAUCAAUUAUCACAAGUCCUUAAGGAAUAAUCGAUUAUCAUUUGAUAUAAUCGAUUAUCACAUUUUUGAAAAACCUAUAACGGACUGAAAUAAUCGAUUAUCACUUACAAUAAUCGAUUAUUCGUGGCAGUUGGGACUUGACCUUUGAUAUUCAGAGCAGGUGGUUAUAUAUAGGGUUUCUAAGAAAUUCAAAUGCAACGUUCUUGAACUGAAAGCUCAGAAGAAUACUGUUUGUCAGAGGAAGUUCUCAGUAGCUUGUUCAAAGUUCCCUUGCUUGGUCUCGUGAAUAGGAGAGGCUCGUGUAUCGUGUGUCGAUAGUCGGAGCAGGCUCUCUUCGAGUUAGCAAGGUGCUCUGCCUGGUCUCGUGAAUAGGAGAAGCUCGCGAAUCGUUGGUCGAUUGCCGGAGCGGUUCUCUUCGAGUUGGCUGAGUGUCAUUCUUCCGGUUCGUUCGUCGAAGGAAGGUUUAUUUUUAUCAAUUCUCAUUCACUGUCUAUUGUAAUCUGUGAAAUAUUUUUAGUGGAACUGUUAAUCACUCUUUACAGUGAUUAACGACUGGACGUAGAUUUUUGUUGAAUCGAACCGGUAUAAAAAUACUUGUGUGAUUUUUCUACUCCCUGCACUUGUUACUUUUGUCUGCACACAAACUGUUCGAUAAAUUUUCUGAAAGAAAUUUUUUUUUCGAAAAAGGACCAACUUCUUUUAAAAAGGUGACCAAACAUGCUUUCCGCUUACUCUAAGUUUAAUUCCACUGCGCUAUACUCUUCAAACCAUACCUCGCUGGAACCAACACAAUUGUUUGGUACUUUAACUCUUCCUUCAAAUCAUUCCAAUAUCCUUCAAAAUCAAGGGAAUUUGUCAAAAUAUCAUUAAGUUCCACCUCAACUCUCUUAUUUAUAAAAUUAAAGCAAAAACAUGAGUUAAAGCAAGUUUCUAAGUCAAAAAGGGUGCAUUUAGUAUCAAAAUUACAUCACAGAUAACGGUAUUUUAAACCGUUAUCACUUUCCUAGAUUGACCUUGCCCCAUGCUUGGAUGAGGUUUCCAUCCCUGAUUGUAAUUAUUGGGACGAAACUGGUUACCCGUGUAUUUAACCACUUCAUUAAUAUUCUCGAGCAUUGCACAUUGACCAUUAAUAUGAUCACCACCACAUAAAAUGAUGAGGGCCAACAACUGUUGCAUAAUCCGCCAAAGUACGUUUAACACCAUUGUUGUCCAUGCUUUCCUGAUUAGAUUGAGAAGUGUGUGAAAGUUUCUCUAGAGAAGGUUCUCUGGAUGUCUUGUUUCUUCUUGUCCUUCUACUGUUCUCCAAUCCUGUGAGAAGAGGUUCAGAAAUUUGUCUGCAUUGAGUUCGAAUAGUAUCUUGCAUAAACUAGACACAAAACCCUAGAAAAUAUUGUUAGCACAAAAACAAAACAAAAAACAAGAUAAAACAAAAUAAAAAUUAAGUCAAAGUUAAUCAAGAAUCACACAAAUAGAAUAGUUUAAACUGUUAGUCCUCAACAACAAUGCCAAAAUCUUGUUGAGAUACUGACAAGUGUACCAAAUCGUACAAGUAAUAUAAAAUGGUAAGACCAAGUAUCGUGUCCCAAGACACUCUUGGCACUAGACAGUCGUGUGAUAACUCGAUUAAUUAAGACUUAAAAGAACGAGAUUAUUGGUUUCGAAUGCAAAUACAGAAAAUUAAAUAUAAAUGCAGUGUUGAUCAACUGUAGAGUAGCACAAUGAUGAACGAAUGAUGUUUGUAAUAUGAGAUGAAUAUGUUGUUGGGGUUAGAUUUCACCAAGUUCACUAUCAUGUAUGUAAGAAUUCUCCUUUUUUUCAUUAAUGUCAACGUCACUCGCUAAUUUACUUAAAAUCCAAUGUCUAGGCGAAGAAAGCCUAUCCUUAAUUACUAGUUUACGAUGUUUUGUCUCCCUAGCAAUUAAUUAUGCAUUAAGAUUAGGAGCUUAAGACAACAAAGACUCAUACACCCAUCCUUGAGAAGUACUGCUCUUAGGGAUAAUUCUACAAGAACAUGAAUUGUAAGGAACCUGUCGGUACUCAUGCAAUUCAUACAUCAUGCUAUAAAUGAGUUAAACAAAGCAAGCAUUGAUCACAGAAGAAUUACCCUAACAAUUAACGAAAGAAACAUAUAUUACAUGAGAGUUCACAAGGUUACAUCAUCCCCCAACAACAAAUAGAAGUUAGUUCACCAUAGACAUGGUGAAACUUGAUGAACAAUGGAGAAGAAUGAGAGAGAAAAACCCUAAAAGUUGAAGAUGGAAGCUCUCGCAUCCAAAUCCGCCUUUAGAGAAUGGAAGAGUAUGAUGUUGUGCCUCCUCUGCCAAAGAUACAAAGCCUAAGACGUUUGGGUCCUUUAAAUAGAGUGAAAUCAAAACAGAAUCAAAGCCCAAGCACAUGUUGUUAGCACUCAACGCCCCACUUAGGGCACCUGGGCGAGCUGCGGUACUAAAACUGGCGCUAAGCUCCACUCAGAGGGCAAGCAAGUGUGGUACUUCAGGAAAAGUGGCGCUCAGCGCCCCAAAUAGGGCGCCCAAGGGCGUGGUGCAACAACUUUUGGCGUUGAGGGCUCCAAAAAGGGUGCUCAAGCUUCGUGCAUUCUUCCUUUCUGGUGUUUUUCCAAGCCUUUCUGAGCUCCAUCUCCUUGGCACUUCAACUCUACUUUCCAUAUUAUCUCAUUUCUUGCCAAAACAAGGGAAUUUAGUCAUAAAAUCACCAAGUUCAACCUCAACUCUCUUAUUCACACAACUUAAUAGGAAAAACAUGAUUUCAACAAGAUUAUAAGUAGAAAAUGGUGCAUUUAGUAUCAAAAUCACAUCACAAAUAAUGGUAUUUUCAACCGUUAUCAGUAUUCUGUUUCUAUAUUGAUCGAGAGUUUUGGAGGUGUUUGCAUUUGAGUGUGCUUUGUAAAGCCUUGGUUGUAAUACUUUAAUCAUUAUAGUGAAUUAUUCUCCAAUCUAAGGUUGAUUAGGAAAGUCACUGGAUGUAGGCAUUGAGGCUGAACCAGUAUAAAAACUGUGUUUGAUAUUAUUAUCAUGUAUCAUAAAAUUUUCUUAUGUGGAUCGUAGGUGUUGGUGAAGAUGAUAAUUUCAUUAAGUUUUGUGUCCACUAAUAAGCAUGCGUGAGUGUGUGGGAGAAUAAGUUUCCUAACCUAUUCUAAUGAAAUGGAUGGUGAAAGAAUCGAUCACCUAACCAAUUUAUGCGUGUGUAUUGCAUGGAGUGGAGAAUGGGUCAGUAAAUUUACUUUUAUGUGAGUGUGAGAAUUAGAGAAUCGACUAUGUUGUAUGUAUGAUGUUCUGAUGAGAGUGGAUCAUGAUAAGUUAAUUAUUGUAGAAAUAAUAAUAAUUAAUAUCUAAAUAUUUAAUUUUUUAUUACUAUAAUUAAUUAAUUUUUUUUAAAUUAAAUAUUUUUCUCUUAUCCAAAACUCAUUUCAUAUCACUUUUCAUAUCAAGGACAAUUUUAUAAUUUUCAUUUCUAUUGUUAAAACUUUUUUGUAUGUAUCAUAUUAAUAAAAUCACACAAACUUUCAUAAAUGUUAUUUUAUUUUAUUUAAUGAUACUUUGAUAUAUAAAUUUUCACAUUCAUUUGAUAUUAUUUUUUCUUACUUUUUAUUUUUAUUUUCUUUUAAAUAUAAAAAAAUUAUUUAUGACCAUUUUAUUCUUGUAUUGUAUAUCAAACAAAUAUAAAAAUAUGUAUUAUUAGUCUUUUUGAAAAUCAACUCAAAAAUAACACAACUUUACUUUCAAAAUUUUCAAAUUUAUCUGCUCACUCUUUCUCAAAUCUAUCAUCUAAAAAGAACACACUCUUAAUUAAUGUUAAAUUUAGUCCCAAAUCAACGAGCUUUGUUAUCUACUCGUACUCGUAGAUGAUUUUUACCUGAUAAUAACGGUGAAAAUGUAUCAAAGUAUCUAAAGAUGGGAUUAAUGAGUGAGUUGCAGAGGAUUGCCAAGACUUUCCACGGUCAAAAAAUAUUAUCUCUUUCUCCCUAAUUUCUAAUCUUUCUGACUAAAAAUAGAAUACACACAUAACCAGCAAAAUGAAGGAAAUUUCAUAGCUGAUUAUAAUGAGUUAAGUGCAAUUAAGAGAGCGGCAACGCACCUGACACCCCUCGAAGAUGGUAACAUACUAUGAAUCAAAAUGCUUUAAGUAUUGGUGACUUAAGUGGAUUUGAGGAGUGUAAUGGAGAGGAUUUGAGAAGAUUUGAUGAUAAACUUUUUGUUGCUUAUUUGAAUAGAUUUGGAGGUAAGUGAGAGUGAAUUUGGAAAUAAAUUUUUUUAAGCUGUCACAUAAAUUAAAUAAUACACUAAUUCUCAUAAAUUUUACUUCCAAAUCUGUUCUCACUUUAACUCCAAAUCUAUUCAAAUAAACAACAAAAAAAUUACCUUCAAAUCCUCUCAAAUCUUUUCUAUUAUUCUUCUCCAAAUCUACUCAAGUGAACAGGAUCUUAAAGAAACAUACCACCACACAAACAUCAAAACGUACCAAGAUAAAAACCCUAAAUCAAAUAUUUUUUUGGUUAAACUUACCAAUCGGUGGACAAAUUCAAGAUGAAAUGCGAGAUUGACACAACUGAAAAAGGGAAUAAGGUUUGAGAAAGAGAAGUCGAAAUUGGGAAUAAGGUUUGGGAAUGUAACAAGGCCACUGAGCUUUCACUCAUCUAAUUAAAAACUUUGAGGGAAUUCAAACCCCGGGAAAAUUCAGUGCUUGUGUCGGUUCUCCAACAUUAAUAAAAUUAUGGUUAAAAUUGUACAUUUUAUAUGUAAAAUAUGGAGGUUCCAAAAAUGUCAUAUUUUACUAUAAAAAAUGAGAAUUUUAUAAUACUCAGUAUUAAAACUUCUAUAAUUUACAAAAUUCUUUUGUAGUGAUAGUUUAUUGAUAACAAAUACAUUUUAUUUGUCUUACUCCAAAAGUAAGAUGUAUUUUCAAGAAUAUUCAAUAGGGUCCCGUUAUUUUGACACCCACUUUUUGACACAUAUUUGACACUGCCACGUGUCAACGUCUUAUUGGGUCGCUUUAUUUUACUUUUUUUUUUAAAUUUGGCUUGCAAAAUGGAAAGCUUUCCAGAAAAUUUGUAUUACAAUUAUACCCCUUUGCUUUUUCAUUGGUUUUGUGUGACANGGAGCUUGCCCCACCGCUCGGUUUAGGACGAGAGUGAGAGUUCACGGGGAGCUUGCCCCACCGCUCGGUUUAGGACGAGAGUGAGAGUUCACGGGGAGCUUGCCCCACUGCUCGGUUUAGGACGAGAGUGAGAGUUCACGGGGAGCUUGCCCCACUGCUCGGUUUAGGACGAGAGUGGGAGUUCACGAGGAGCGUGCCCCACCACUCGGUUUAGGACGAGAGUGGGAGUUCACGAGGAGCUUGCCCCACCGCUCGGUUUAGGACGAGAGUGGGAGUUCACGAGGAGCUUGCCCCACCGCUCGGUUUAGAACGAGAGUGGGAGUUCACGAGGAGCUUGCCCCACCGCACCGUUUAGGACGAGAGUGAGAGUUCAUGAGGAACUUGCCCCACCGCUCGGUUUAGGACGAGAGUAAGAGUUCACGAGGAGCGUGCCCCAUCGCUCGGUGUAGGACGAGAGUGGGAGUUCACGAGGAGCUUGCCCCACUACUCGGUUUUGAAACUUUUCCAUGUGCAAGAUAUUUUCACUCCAAAAGAUAUGAUUUAAAUAAAAUAUUCAUUUUUAUAAUGAGAUAAUGUUAGAACCUGAUAAUGUUUAAUGUUGGUCUGAACCUUCCUGCACGUAAUACUUUUACUCACAAAAAUAUGAGUUAAAUAAAAUAUUUUUUUUUAUAAUGAUAUAGUGUUAGAACCUGGUAAGGUUGAACGUUGGUCUGAACCUUCCUGCAUGUAAUAUUUUUCCUCACAAAAAUAUGAGUUAAAUAAAAUAUUUAUUUUUAUAGUAAGAUAACAUUAGAACCUGAUAGUUUUAGUCAAAAAAAUAUGAGUUAAACAAAAUUAUAAUAAAACUUAUAACUUAUAAAUUAUAAUAAAGUUUUUUGAUCUUGUUGCGAAACCCGGUAUUAAUCCGAAGUAGCGAUGUCGAGACCGAGGGCGCAUCUGGUUCCUUGUGGUUUCAUCGGAAUGCCCCUCGGCCCUACGGUGGGCGCCAAAAUGUUUCGGCGGGAUUUGGUUCGAGGGUCGGUUGACCUUUCUUCUCUGCUCUCUCUGGGUCGUUUUAAUCCUUUUUGAGAACACAAUCCUCCGAUGGACCUCCAAAAGACACUCCGACGCUCAAGUCAGAUAUGUUGGAUAUAGAGGUCUACAUAUUUUAUUUUAUUUAGGAUAACUUAAGGUUCUCUUAAGUGGUAUACUUAUAAGGCUUGUGGUAGCUAAGCACAUUGAUUAAUCAUUAAACCACACAAUCAAAUUAAAUAAUACAUGUUAAUUGUCCAUUAAUAUCAGAUUUUGGUGCAAUAUGACCUGUUAAUCAAUCAUAAAUAACAUAUACUCACAUUUAAUAUGACCAUUAAACAUAUUAAUUGAUCAUUAAUGAUUUUUAUCUUUCCUGAUUGGUGUUUAUGUAACCAUCGAUCGGUUGCCUGUUUUGCCUCCAGAAUCUUCUUAAUCAAUCGGUCAUUGGGAUAUAGUACAUAUAUAUUUGGCGUAAGAUUGCCUUCCAUAUUUGUAGAAUUCUUGGACAUUAUGUGAGAUUGUUAAGUCUUUGCACAAAGUAAAAUAAUUUUAAUUAGUACAUAUAAAAUAGAAAAAUUCAUAAAAUAUUUUGAAUCAAUUAAAUUAUUAUCGAUUUCUAAUCACUUUUAAUAUGAGUAAGAGCAAUAGUUGUUAUUUAUUACAUAAUAUAAUAAUCAUACUAAAAUGAACCGACUUGUUUAUAUCAUACCAUAAUUGGACCAAAAUAACGAACUUUGAAGAACAACCAUGAUAGCUUUUCAAUAGGAGUUGAUUUGUCUGUCAACAUGUUAUGUUCAAUAAAUACACUAUGAGAAAGGAAAUUAAUUAGAAUACGUUUAUAUAAGAAUCGGAAGCUUAAAAGCUAGGAACUGCAACAAUGGGAGCAAGAUUAUAGCAGUGCAAAACGAGUUUUAGAAGAACAGAACACAUGUUACAAUUAUGCCACCUGAAUGACAAACCUAGACACGAGUGACAACACUACAUGUGUGUUAGAAAGAAUAUAACAAGCCUUAAUGAAAAACAGAAAAAAAAAAAAGCUUCAAUGAAAAACAGAAGAAAAGAAACACAAGGGACGAGAGAACGAACCUCACGAGUUAACGGGCAAUAUGAAGAAGAAGAGAAAGUGAGUUUUGUGGUUGUGUGAUGCAAUCCUUUAGUGUGUAAUGUAUGUAAAUUUUCAUAGAUAUAAGUUUAGGUUUUGUAUAAAAUCUAAACCUAUACUUUGUCAUUUAGGUAAAUCAUUUUAAAAGAAGAUUGUAUUUUUGAAAUUUUUGACAAACUAUAAACACUAACUAUGAAAUAACUGAAGUUCAUUCUCUCACUAUUUGAGUAUAAGUUUCAUUUAUCGAAAUCUAUAUUCAAAAAGUUAAACUAAGUGAAAACUAUACAUAAACACUAAGAAUAAUAUGUGAUUAUAGUUUGCUUAAAAAAAUUAAAAAUUGUCACCAUAUUUUAAAAAAAAGUUAUUUUUCUUAAAAUCGUAACAUGUUAGAUGAAAUUAAAUGUUGUUUUUAUACUACUAAGACAAGAGAGAACAAAAUCACAUAGUGAUGAUGAUGAAAAGUUUACAUUAAUUAGUGUAAAGUUGAAUCGUAUGCAAGGUAUCAUUAGUCUUAACAUUGAAGAUAGAAGAAAAAAGUUUGAAGUUGAAUGUGAGCAUCUCAAAAUAUGGCACCCAUUUGGUAAUAUUAUGAUAAAAUGCUUUAUAGUUGGAGCCUAUACAACCCUUCCAAGUGUGAGGCGCAUCAACCGAAGUUCAGGAGGACUCCACACAAAAAAUUUAUUAAAAAAAUGUUAUGAUCAUUAUAAUAAAAAAAAAUGUAUUCAAUUUUUAAUCAUUAUGGUUUUAACUGUGAGAUUAUGCUAAUAAAAGACAUAUCAAAUGAAUAUUGAAGUGUAAAUUUUGGAGUGCAAUGUAUAUUUCAAAAGAUAAAUACAAAUAUGUUUACUGAAAUCAUCAAUAAUUGAAAAUAAAUCAUCAAUACAAAUAAGAAAAUAAUUGAUAAGAUAUUACAACAAAAAGGUUUCAAGGAUUUCUAUGAACUAAUUUAGAAGGAUGUCAAGUCUUACCAUUAUUAUUAUUAUUAAAGAGAAGUUAAACUUGCUUGACCAAAUUAUGUGAGCCAGAAACUAAAUUUUAUUUUAUUUAAGGGAAAUAGUUACAUGUUUAGCUACUAAAGGUGAAGGUUGACCAAGCUUAUGGUGCAAAACAUUAAAGGUAUUAGAAACAAUAUUAGUGUGGACCUGUUCAGUAAAACAAAGAGAAAAAAAAAAUUAAAAUAUAAAAAUACUAAGAAACAUAUUGACGAGGAAAAUAUAUAAGUCCAAUUUGGCUUCUCUGGAUUUUUUUUUUCUUUUUUCUUUGUAUGCAUUUAAACUAAGAUAAUUCACACUAAUUUUGAUAUUUUAUUUAUUUUUGAGAAUUUAGAUUAUCAUUUCAAUUUUUCCACCAUAAUAAUCCUUCAAUCUAACGUUACUGAUAUUUAUUAUUAAAUCUAAAACCUUCCUCAAAUAAAAUUACAUCCUAAUAUAAAGACAACAAGCCAAUUAGAUAAGAACCUAAUAUAUAAAGGUGAUUUAUCUUAGUAAAAAUCUAUCUCGAAUUAUCAACACAUUAUUGAGUUACUUUAAUCACGUAGUUGACUUGAGCAUUUUCACCACAUGACAACACCAAAAAUUCAGUAGAGAAUUUGGAUUCGUAUAAAUUAUUGUCAACUUCAAUAAUUUCAAUAAAAAUUUAAUUUAAUUUAAUUAAUAAUUUAAUCUAUAUAUUUAAUUUUAUUAUUUAUUUUAUUUUAUAUACAUUUUUAUUCAUUUGAAUGUUAAAAUUUGAUAAACAAAGUUAAUUUGGUCAAUUCCAUUAAAUUGGUGCUAAACUAUUUAGAAGUGUAACGUGUUAAAAUAUAAACUUCUAUCUUUGAAACCCUUUUAAUUUUUCUUUUGUUUUUUUCUUUCUCUGUUCAACUUCUUUCACCUUCCUCCACGUUGUUCCACAUCCCUCUACCUCCCACCAUUUUUUAAGUUGAAAAGUUUUGAUUCUUUUUAUUUUCUCAAGUUAUUAUUACAUUUUGAGUGAGGAAUAUUUAGAAUUUUGAAUUGGAAAAAAAGUACCUGUGAUGCCAUGACGUUUUAUUUAUUUAUUGUAUUUUUUUAUUUAAUUGAAUUUCAAUAUUUGAUAAAUAAAUUCACUUUAGUUUGUUCCAUUAAAUUGGUGUUAACACUAUUCGAAAGCCGUGUUAAAAUAUAGAUAAUCUUGUAUAUUGGAACCCCCCUCUUAUUGUUUUGUUCGUUUUUUAUUCCUCCACCUUCUCCCACCUUAUACGUUGCAAAUUUUGCUUUUUUUUUUUUCUAAGUUAAUUAUUGGGUGAAAGAUUUCAAGUAAGAAAUAUUCAAGACUUUAAUUUGAAAAAAAAAAUCUUGUGAUACAAUGAUGUUUGGGUGUUGCUCUCUCCACCUUCUCAAGUGAGUCCUGCACCUCCCCACUAUUUUAAUUUAUUUCAAAAAUAUUCUACAUAUCUCCAUUAUUUUCUUUUAUUCCAAAAAUACCAUACACCUCCCCACUAUCUUCAACACUCUUUUCCUUUCUCUCUACAGCAUUCACAUGGUUCAGAUUUGAAUUUGUGAUAUAUUACAAAAUAUAAAAUUCAGAGAAAACUUGUAUUUCUACCAUUUCCAUUUUAUAAAAUUAAAAGUUAAAUGCAAAUACAAAAUAAUAAACAUAAUAAUAUUAAUAGUAAAUAAUGAUAUAUUAUUAUUAUUAUUAUAUACUAACUUUAUGAUGACGAAAAAACUAAAUAAAUUUUAAAUCUUUAAUAAAUAACUUUUUUUUUAUAUUUUAAGUAUUUAAUAAUAUUUUUAUAUUAUAUAUGUAAUAAAUUAAAUAUUUUAUUCAAGUUAUUUGAGUCAAACAUAUAGGUGAGUUAAAACAUAAUAUAAUGUUAAAAAUUAUAGAUAUUAUAUGUAAAAAGAACACACACAUAUAUAUAAACAUUUUUCUAAAAAUUUAAAACAAAUAUAUUCUAAGAGCCAAAAUAAGAUUGAAUCAAAACUUAUUUAAGAAAAUAUAUCACAAGUUUAAAUGUAAAUGCUCCAUUAAUAAGUCAUGUAAAUGUUUCAUUAAUGUAGAGAGAGAAAGAUUAUUAAGGAUAGUGGGGAAAUAUAAGGUAUUUUUAGAAUAAAAGAAAACAAUAAGAAAGUAUAAAAUAUUUUUGAAAUAAAUUAAAAUAGUGAAGAAGUGUAGAAUCCACUUGGAAAAAUGGAGGACCUUAUAUUUUUUCUAUUCAAUUAAGUCUCAAUAUUUUAUGAAUAAAGUCAAUUUGUUUCUAAGUGUUGAAAUCUAAGUAUUUUUUUUUUCUCUCUCCACCUUCUCUCAACUUCCUCCAACUCCCACCACAUUUUAUAUUGAAAUUUUUUGUUUCUUUUUUAUUUUGUAGAGGUAAUUCUUACAUGGGGUGAGAGAUUUCGUGUGAGGAUUAUUUAAGACUUCGAAUUGAAAAAAGUGUCCUUUGAUGGGAUGGUGUUUUAUUAUCUAGAAAUAGUGCAAAACGAAUAUACAAUGAAAGACAGAGUAUGCUGGAAAGAGAUUAAAAAAGGUAAAGGAAGAAAACAAAAAUCAGAGGGGUUUCAAUGUUAAUACUAAUUUAAGAAAAAAAAAUACUAAAUUAAUCCUAUUUAAUAAAUAUUGAAACUUAAUUGAGUAAAAAUUGUAAGACCAAAGUAAAUAUUGGAAACAAAUUAUUAAUUAAACUAUUUUCUUUUUCAGGUGAAUGUCUUGAACUAACAAAGGAAAAAAAAUAUUUUUUAAAUAUAAAUAGUAUGAAAUAUUAUAGGAAGAGUUUAAAAUAAAUUCAAUUUGAUCUAACAAAUUCACUUUAAGUCUAAUCCAAUUAAUAUAUGAAAUAAGUUAGGAGAAUAAAAUAUUUUUAAAAUGAAUUAAUCUAUUUAUCAUAUCAACUCAUUAUAUGUCAAUCAGAGUUAUGAAAUUUUUUCCUCAACAAAAUUAAAUUGAAUUGACUUGUAUAAGUUUAAGUCUAUGAUAAGCCACUUAAAUAAAUUGGCUUAACUUAGAUAUUCUUAAUUACAAAAGUUCACAAUUUUGUUUAAUUUAUUUUUCGUUAAAUACUCAUUUUAAUCAAAUGUGCAAUUUGAAUUUAAAUUUAAUAAAACACUUAAAUCAAACCUCCAAUGUUUUGUGAACCUAUUUUUGUAUUUUUUUUUUGUCAAAUUGUUAAGCAUUUUCUCACAAAAAAACACGUAUUAAACAUUUUAUAAUAAAAAAUUAACAAAACAAAGAAAAAAGAAGAGAGAAACAUGUUAUGAUUUAUUUUUGUAUGAUUGUUGUUAUAUUUAUGAUUUCAAUUUUUUUCCACAUUUUAUACAUAAAUUACAUAAUCUUAUAGUUAACAAAUUACAACACAAAUUUGCUAUUUUAUUUUAGAAAGCAUAGAUAUAUUGAAAGUAAAAUACAAUCAAAUUAACAAACUAAGAAAUUGGAAAAUUAGUCAUCUUGUCUUGUCUAAUUGCUCCAGUAAACCAUCUUUUUGAAGAAUUAAUGGUACAUUGAUGGAAGACCUUCCCCCACGUAUACGCCACUUAUCUUAGUUGCCCACUAGCUUCAUAUUAUUUAACAUAUAUUCUAUGAUUGAUUAAAACAUAUAAAAAAUCAUAAAAUAAAAAAGUCAAUAGAUAAAAAAUUAAAAUUUAUAAUAAAUUUAAUUCAAUAAUCAUAAAAUGUAAAAAGUAGGUGACAUUUCUAUUUCAACCAAUAGUUGUGGUCUACGAGUCUUUUUAAAUUGUAAGUGAUAGUUUACAUUCUAUUCUUAAUUGCUUUUAACGUGCAUCUUGUGAACUUUGUCAUUUUUCUACAAUUAGGAGUUCUGGUCUAGUCCAAAUUAGGCAUCACCCAAUCAACAUUAAAGUAAAAGCUCCCUCGAUUCAUGUCUAGAUUUUGACAACUUAGCAAAAUACAUAAAAUCCAAGAAUAAGGUUGUUGCAUAUGGAGUCCGGAAUUUCAAAGAAAUUUUAUAAUUUUUUAUAAAAUAGUUUAAAAAAUAUAAAAUUUUAUAAUUUUUUAAGAAAAAAGAAAGUAAAAAAUAAAUAAGAAUAAUGUUAAAUGAAUGUAAAAAAUUUAGGUGUGUUAAAAAAUAUUUUUCUUUUGACGAGAGAUUAUUGGCAACACAAAAUUGGUGAAAAAUGCAGACAUCAAUUUUUCUUGUGGCGUGUCAUGCCAAUCACUGACCAGUGCUGCAUUUAAACGCUCGUGUCUGCUACUCAAUGAAGAAGUUGUCCAUGCUCCAUGAUGGAUGUAUUUAGCUUGUACUUUAUCAUCAUCAUGCAAACCAAUCUCCCGUGCAAAUGAACCAGACUAUCAUUUAGACAAGACAGACCCAAAAUUAUAUAUAUUAAUGAACAAUGUCAAAAUUAAAUAGACCGAAAGGUUAACAUUAGUAUAAAGUUCAAUCAAUGGCGUAUAGUGCACCAUUAAUCUUAACAUUCAAGAUAAAAGACACUUUUUAAGUUAAUAGCUUCCAAAUGUCAGGGAUGGAUUGGAGAAUAAAUUAAUAGCUUCCAAAAGCACAAGGUUCCACCACUACUCCAGAGUCAAAAGGACUCGCGAAUCAGCUUCUUUCUCAGAAGAUACAAUCAGUUCUCCAAAGCAAUUUUGUCCAAGACACCUCAGAAACUAAGUUUUGAUAACCUCUUUCAACACAAACUCAAAUUAUUGUUGUCAUAUAACAAGAGACUAACCAAUGACUACUUUUGUUGUAUACCUAAACUCCAUUGGUUGCCUAACAAUACAUUCCAGCAACACCAAGUGAGAAUACAACUUCAAAGUUGGCCACAGAGGCUAAAGUUUUUCCCUUUGAAAACAAGAUUGACUAAAGUCAAUUUACAGAUGAUCUUGAUUUAAAAAUCGUUCUCUGUUUACUAAAUUUGUAAAAAACAAUUUAAACUGAUAAGUUUGAAAUUCCAUUCUUUGCAGCAUCUGAAUAACUUGCACAAUUGUGGAGCAUCAGAUACUGGUUUAUGUUGUAACAGCAGUAAGAACAGACUUCUCUUCAGGAUAGCAAAUUUCAAGCGAUCAUUUUGCUUAAAAGAAUAAAAAAAUUAAGGAGUCAACGAGAUAGAAGUGUUUCAUUUGAUGACACUUAAUUGCAUACCUGCGAUAAUAUAUUAUAUAAUAGAUGAACCAAAGUUAAAUAUGAAACUGAUUGCUUCAUCAUCCUCCACUGACAUGAUUGACUAUUCCUUCUCUGCUGAAAACUGAUUGCUUCAAUUAUCCCAACACAGCAUCCGCAAAUCAAAUUCUUUUCAAACUCAGACUCAACACGGCAACCAAAGACAACAGCUAAUGGAAAAAAUAAAACAAGCUCCAUUUUAUUCCAUCAGUUAAACACUCAAAAGCCAUCAGAGAAACAUUUUCAUGAUCAGGCAAAACUCAUCUCACCAGUUUAAUUCCUGAGACAAAAUAUUCAACAUCCAAAAUUAAUCUUCGCAAGCAGUAAAAAUGAAAAACAGACUGAGUCUAAUCUAUAUACAGAGCCUAAGUGAAACGUUUUCAACCAGAUUGACUCUGAAACAAAUCAAUGUGAACGUCACAGACUUCGCAAUGUGUGAUUAGUAUAAAAAUCCUUUACACUUAUAUACGAAAAAGGAUAUAAUAUUUAAUUACAAAUUACAGGUAUAUAAUACUUAUUCAUCAUUCAAAAUUGACGAGUAAGGCAGAAAGAGGAUGGGCACGGGGAUUAUUAUAAUCCAUAGCUGAACUGCAGUAAGCAUAUAGAAUGGCUUCAUAAAUCUAAAUUUUGUAAAUAAUUGUUAAUUUGUAACAAAGUUCAACAAUCUAGUUCUGCCUAUAAGCAAUGUAAUUGGCUAAAGCAACUAAAGGAGCAGCCUUGACAGGGUCAAAGCCAGAAAGCUGAUCCUGAGCAUCUUUGUUCAAUUUGGCAGCAAACUCCUUAGACUUCUCAAUCCCCAAAAGCUUGGGAUAAGUAACCUUAUCAGCCGCAAGAUCCUUCCCCGCAGUUUUCCCCAAUUCCUGGGAAGACUUCGUAAUAUCCAGAAUGUCAUCAACCACCUGAAACAACAAUCCUAUAUACCUCGCAAACUUCCUCAAUUUCUCAAUCUCCUCGUCGGUUCCACCGCCCAGGAUGGCGCCAAGGACCACCGCGCCUUCCAGCAGGGCCGCCGUCUUGUGGAGAUGGAUGAACUCCAAGCGUUCGAGGCCAACGUCGUCAAGCCCCUCGGAUUUGAUGUCGACCACCUGGCCGGCGACGAGUCCCUCGGCGCCGAUGGCUCGUGCGAGCUCCCCGAGGGCGCGGACGAUGCGAGGCGGGGAGGCACCGACGGUGGCCCCGGCGAUGUGCUCGAAGGCAAAUGCGAGGAGCGCGUCGCCGGCGAGGACAGCGACGUCCUCCCCGAAGACCUUGUGGUUGGUAGGUUUACCGCGGCGGAGGUCGUCGUUGUCCAUGCAGGGGAGGUCAUCGUGGAUGAGGGACAUGGUGUGGAUCAUCUCGACGGCGCAGGCAGCGGGCAUCGCGGUGGCGGCGGCUCCUCCGACGAGCUCGCAGGCGGCGACGCAGAGGACGGGGCGUACGCGCUUGCCACCGGCGAGGAGGGAGUAGCGCAUGGCCUCGUGGAUCCGCAGCGGCUCGCGGAGGGGAACGGCGUCAUCAAGCGCCUGAUUGACGGCGUCGGCUUUCUGGACCAUGUAGGACUUGAAGUUAAACGCCGGCUUCUCUUGGGUCUCAACAGUGUCCUCUUUGGUGAGGAGUGCGGAGAGAGUGAAAGGCGAGGAGGAAUAAAGCUUAUCUCUUUGGCGUUUGGUGACGAUGAAGGAAGGAAUGGGGGAGUUAGUGAGGCCGUGAAAUAGAAAAGUUGGGGAUCUGGAUCUGGUGAAGCUGGGGUGUAGCCAUGCGUUAAAAUUAACGGCACUCAUGGUGGGGGUUCUGAGAAUCUGUUUGGUUAGAUUGAAAGGUUUGGGCUUUGGUGAGAACUAUAAGAGUUUAUGCAUUGCAUUAGGGUGGCGAAGGAAAAAUAAUACAAGGGGUGCUGAAUGGUGAAUGGCGAGUAGUGAGUAGUGAGUGGAUAAGCAAAGCCUUCCUUCCACUUGCACCAAUUACUCAAUUACUUUGGAUUGGUUUAUUCAACUACAACAGCAGAUAGCAUAAACUAUCAUCUAUCUAUCUAUCUAUUUCACUCCCUUUAUCUCUGUCACCUCCUUUCACUGCCUCGUGUCAAUUCCAUCCACUUUUUCUCCAUUUCUUUUAAACCAAUUUAUUUCCUUUUAUUUCACGUCUGAUUCCACUUAUCCUACCUAUACUUGCAACAAACCACACCAAAGGGUUCUUUUCAAAUACCACUUCAUUAAAUAUCCCUAUAAUUCCUCAUUCAUCACCACCUAUAAAAUGCUUUCUAUUAUUAAUUAUGAAAACUUCCACUUUUAAUUAUAAACCAAAAUAAUUAAAUAAUAUGCUAUCUUUCUAUUUAUUUUCUUUUAAGUGAAACUAGAUAGCUACUUAUUUAAGGGCCAUAUAGAAAUUCGACUGUAAAUCUGAAUGGUGAAGCAUUUUCUUAACACUCUUAUGUUGACAUGAAUCACAAAUAAUUUCGUGCACUUGUCCACAAGUUGAAACAUUGUUUUCAUCCUAUCCACCACAGGCAGUCCCUUUGUCAAUGACAUUUGCUACAAAAAGAGACAGUGCUUAUUCAUCUUUUUGCGCCCAUUCAUUAUGAACUUCUCCAAAAACAUUUAUAUUGAAACACAUCCAAACACACAAAUUGAUAUGUAUCCCAAAGUAACAUGUCAUGAAACAAAAAUCAAGUAAAAAAAACUCACCCCAACUCUAUAAACUACUAGCUUCUCCAAUUAUAAUUUUCUAAAAUAAUUAUUUAAAAUUACUUUAUGUGAUAAUAUAUAUAUAUAUAUAUAUAUAUAUAUAUAUAUAUUAUUUCGGUUGCGAGGUCGAGUUAUCACCGACAUCUCCAUAAUUUGUCUUCUAGACCGUUUGGUUCCAUCUCCUGAUGUCUUCCUCUUCUUCGAAUAUCGUCCGAUCAAGUACCUUUCAAAGAUUUUCAGUUGUUCAAGUAAGUGUCCAGUCAACACAGUAAAUAUAGGACAAUAAUAAAUAUGUAGUAAAUAUGAAUCAUCUACCUCAUACAUUUAAUUUGUAUUUAUAGUUUUUAUUAUGAGCUUAUGAUUAGUGAAAUCUUAAUCACAACCCAAUCUCGAUCCAAUGAUUCUAGUCACGUCUUACCUUAAUUUCGUCUUAAACCAAAGGUUACAACUGACCGUCCGCUAUGAAUCGUUCGGUAAUGCUUUUUUCUGUCCAAAAUAUAUAUAUAUAUAUAUAUAUAUAUAUAUAUAUAUAUAUAUAUAUAUAUAUAUAUAUAUAUAUAUAUAUAUAUAAUUUAAAAAAUUGGGACCAUGAAACAUAGUGUUCGGCUCAAAUCAACCGACCUAACAUUUUCUUCAUUUGUUUUCAAUAUCGAAAGAUGUUGAUAUUCACCUAAGUAUAUUCAUUAGGCUUGAAGGUUUCCAAUAUAAUGUGGUCAUAACAAAAGGUAUAAAAAACAAAUACUAAAAACAUUACAGCAACUUAAGCAUGAAUGAAAACAACAUUAAAUUAAGAGAAUGUUAUUUCUCUCGUACCUUGUGCCUAAGCUUUAAAGAAAAAGGGUGUUGAAACUUUCUUCUCAGAAGAAAUAUAACCUUAAAAGCUUUGAGAAAAUAACCUCCCAAAAGCUUCUAGAACUCAAAGAACAUCUAAGCUUAUCAAUUAUUCUUUUAAAGAUUCUCAUAUAAUAUGAAUGUUUUUGGUGGAGAUGAUUAUUUACGUUGUGUUCGCUUAAGAUGAUGUACUAUUCAUGAGAAAAUCCUAGUAUGGAUUUGCAAGAUGCAACAUGUUCAUUUGAGUAGAUUUUUGAAGAUGAAUUUAAGCGGAUUUGUGAUAUAUCCACUUUUUUUUGGUCAUCCGCUAAUAGGUUCAAGUUUGGAGUGAUUUCAUUUGAAAUAUCAUAUUUGCUCUGCAUGCUUUGUAAAAUACCACGUUGAAGAUGAAGAAGAUGAAGAACAAAGUUUGAAGGAGUUGAAAAAGAGCUGUAUUCGGUUCUAAAAGCGCUGUAUUCGGUUCCCAUUUUCGAGUAAUCAGUUCCAGUCGAGAGAACAAAUGCAACUUAUGCUUGUAUUCGGUUUUGCAAGCUUGUAUUCGGUUCCACUAAUCACUUGUAUUUGGUUCUUGUGGUGAUUUAUUCGGUUCCACAAGCCUGCACACCUUUCAUCCAUGCGCUGAUGUGUUUCCAAGGUUGGUUGUAAAUUGUAUUGUGUAGCCAACACACAAUGCUUACUAUCUCUGAAUUUGCUGUUAUAUUAUGAUAUUAGAGCAUCUUUGCCUGAGGUACAAAAAGCAUGCUGCUUGUGUCUUAUAAAUUAUCAUCUAUUACCUUAGGAACCUUCCUUACUACUUAUUCAUAAGGGUAUUAGAAGUAACUUCCUGUGUUAAGGAGUGACUACCAAGCAUCCAAAAUAUUAUGUUAGGCACUUGUUAAAUUAUAUUUUAAAAAUACUUAUUUCAAUUUACUAAAUUAUCAUUUUUUUAAUUUUAAAAAAUAAUUUUUAUUUUAUUUUUUUAUUUACAACAUUUUAUUGAUUUUUCUUUCAAUAGGUCCCUUCCGUUAAGUCUCUCUUAUCAUUAUAAAUACCUUUCACCUUUUUCUCUCUCAAGCCUAAAAAACUAUGUCUGAGUUCGAAGAAAGAGAAUGCAGUAGAAUUGAGUUCUCAGAAAUGGGGAGAUAAAUGACAUGAUUUACUGACGAGGUCUCACAAGUCAUGCACAUACUAUUCCAAGAGAAAAUCUCAAUUUACUAACGCAAGGUUUAUUCUGUGUUCAUUCAUGUAAGGCCAGAAAAUGUAAUUAGAAGUCUAUCAUUUUAUAGCUAAAUUUUGUUUGAGGAGAAUACAUGUGACGUGCUUCAUUUCAAGGUCAGUCAGUAACACCAAAUGAUAAACAAUAUAAACCUGUACUCUAGGGAUACUAUCUAUCAUUUUUUGUUUUAUUCGGUUGAUUAAAACUAUAAAAGAUUCAACUUCUAUGCACUUGUUCAACCAUUUGUUACAAGGUUGGGCAUCAACUCUUUUACUUUGUCAGCUCAUGAUAUUAAUAUGCUCAAAUACAAUUUUAAGAUGCUGCUACCUUGAAGGUUUAAGUAUCUACAUGUUAGGUAUUACUACAGAAAUGGUGCAAGGAUGCUCAUGUUUUGAACGGUGAAUUGUAGAAGUUGACCAAUAAAACUCAAAAAUCAGAACGAUAACAGAUGGCACUCGAGCAUAAAAAUGGUUAAGCAACUGCACUAUUCACAUUUGAAUGGCUAGAUACCUCUCAUUAUAUAUAGAUUGAUACACCAAAUCAUUUCAAUCAAAAUGCAGUUUCCAUUUGUCACACACACACACUCAUAUAUAUAUAUAUAUAUAUAUAUAUAUAUAUAUAUAUAUAUAUAUAUAUAUAUAUAUAUAUAUAUAUAUAUAGUUGUAACCAGUAAGUGCAUUAACCCUAUAAACCAAGAAAAUGAGUUCAAUAAAAUAUUGACUACAUAUAUAGUAGAAACCAAUCAUGUAUGUUUUCAUGGUUUGAUUUUUCCUUCUUGAUGAUCUUAUUAACCAUUUUUGUUACCAUGUUCACAUCUUUCUCCACUCGUUCGAUAGUUACAAGAUAACAUCAAAGCCUCAACUAUUUGCCACAUUAACAACUUCUCUCUUUCCAACUCAAAAAAUUAUCAUUCCCUAAUUCUAAUUCCCUAGAAUCUGUUUCAUACAUCAAACUAUGUGGGAUUAUUAUAUAUCAGGUGCUUUUUUGAAAUACACAUUUACAUCAUUUAGUUACAUUCUAGAUAAAAAAAAAAACGUAGAAAUAUUUUAGGUUGUUUCAGGUAAAAUGUGAUUAUUCAUAAAAGCCAGCGAAAUAUUUUUAAAUUAAAAAUAAUUAAAACAUACUUGUGGUCGGGAAGUUUUUCAAGAUUUUUCUAUCCGAAACUUAUAAUAUAUAAGAAUAAUGAUAUUUUAACAAUUUUUUUAAAUAACUUUUUGACAACCUUACGUAUUACUAUUUAUGAUUGUAAAAAGUUGUUAAAUAAACAUUUUUCAAUAUAUAAUUUUUGUAAGGAGAACAUAUAAAUUAUGGGUCGCUAUCAGAAACCUUUGGAAAUAUAACUUUGAGAUUGCAGUGUGUGAAAUAUGCCACAAGCUCCUGCUGCCGUGCUAUAUUGUCCUUAACUUCCCUCCUCCUCAGUUUCAUCUGCACACCCAAAACAUACUCUUUCACUAUGAUAAUUAGUUCCUUCACAUCAUCCACUUCCCUCUUUGACUCAACAACAAUCAAAGGAAUAGAAUAAAUGCUUAAGAUUUCUAUGCUUGUAAAACAUUUUAGAUGCAUAGAUAAGGGUGUGCAUGCAUUUUGAUAAAGCUUCACCAGUUUAUGCGUAAGUCCAUCAAAUUUCAUUCUAAAGUACGAUUGAUUGUUUAUGUAAAAUGUAAAAACUGAAUACAGGAAAAAUAAAGACUCAGUUAUUGUAGCACGAGAUAACAGUCUAAUAAUGAACAACAAACUUUAUUGGAUAUUUGGCAAAAGUUUCGAGCUGGAGUGUAGAUACCCAUGUGCCACACGUACACAUAUGUAUGAAUUUCGAUUGAUAAAGUAUAAACUUAAUUUUAGCAGCAUCACGUAUAACAGAUAUAAUUUUAUCAUACAUUGAAUCCUAUAAACUAUGGAGCAUGUUUCGAUUGAUAAAGUAGCUCCCCAUUUCUGAGAAGUCAAUUCUACUGCAUUCUCUUUCUUCGAGCUCAGACAUAGUCUUUUAGGCCUGAGAAAGAAAAAGGUGAAAGGUAUUUAUAAUGGUAAGAGAGAAUAGAAGAGAGAGAAAAAGGUGAGAGAGGUAGUUAUGAUGAUGUUAUAAUGGUGAGAGAGAGAGAAAUAAGAGAGAGAAGUGUCAGGAAUAGCAGAGAAGUGUCAGGAAUAGCAGUGGAGAGAGAAGAAAAAUAUCGCCACGUAAGUGUGAAGUUAACGUCGUUGCAAGCUACUUAACAGAAGGGACCUAUUGAAAGCAAAAUCAAUAAACUGGGGACCUAAUUAAAUCACUUUUAAAAGCGGGUAUCAAACAGAAAUUCAGCCCCCAACUUAGGGACUAAAAAGGUAAUUAAGCCUUUUUUUUUUUUUUACAUUUCUUAUUCACAGUCACAAAAUUUCUUAUUCACAGUCUCAAAAUUGGCAAUUUUUACAUAUUUGAUCAAUAAGUCUAAUUCAAUGUUUUUUAUGUAUGCAACAUGAAAAUGUAUGAUAUUAAUAUCAAAACCUUAGUCCAUUCUUCCAACUCCAAGCAUAGGUCAAGAUUCUUCCACCUUCAAGUAACUCUCUAAUUUGAUCAAACGGUGUAAGCGUGAAGAGAAG